rnacentral:lncRNA from 1 species
GAGCAUGUAACAGAAUGAUGAUCAAUAAAAAAGCUAAAGGUAGACAACCAGAUGUAACAACAAUUUCAUCAAAGAAGCUAAUUCAAGGUUUUUGGAAGCGGAGCACGUCGUUGACAAGUUUGUCAAAAUUCAUGGAUGAUGAACCAUUAAUACCAGCUGUCGCUUCAGCCUUUGACUUCCAUUCCAUUGCCUUCCGUUUCAUUUCCUUACCUUUCUCCCUAUCAAUUAACUCUAUCACAAGCUUCUCUACUUCAUCUCUAUUUGCAUCGCUUUCAAUUUCCAUGCCAACACCCCAAUCAACGCAAGCAAACUUACAGUUAGUUUGUUGUUCGGAGAAAAAAGGCCAGCAUAGCAUCGGCACGCCGUUGGACAUGCUUUCAAUGGUGGAGUUCCACCCCAUGUGACUUAAAAACCCUCCUAUCGAUGAAUGCUUCAGGACUUUUUCCUGCGCACAGCAGCUCGCCAUCAGGCCUCUUUCUCGAGUCUCUUCAAGAAACUCUGGAGGCAAAAGUACCGCUGAGUCGCCCCUGACAAGAUCAGGCCUGAUUAUCCAUAAAAAAUUCUUCUUGCUGUUAGCUAGUCCCCAAGAAAACUCCACAAGUUGCUGUGGAUUCAUGACAGUUAUGCUUCCAAAAUUCACGUAGACAACAGAAUUGGGAUCCUUGGAGUCGAGCCAGUGCAGGCAUUCAGUCUCUUCUUUCCACAGACUGGAUCCAAUUGAUGCUAGAUAAUCAUUCUGUGUUUGAUCAAGAAGCAAAUUAAGAGGACCAACAGAAUAAAUCGGAGGAAACAUAGAUGAGAGAGCAACCAGAACAUCAUGAUCUAAGUCAUCAAAAGUAUUCACAAGAGCAGCUGAAGGCUUUGAAGCUCUAUCAAUUAUUCUUAUCACAAAGUUUAGCAUAACGUCGUUUCGAUCUGUUGUGCGAAUGAAGGUCGGAAGGUCCUUCAGACGAAUAUCUUUCAUUCCAGGAAUCCAGUCUAUUUUUGUCUCCAAAUAUCCAUUUGUCAAAUCGCUUUCUUCUGCGUCAUUGAUAUCAAAGAUAAAAACACGUUACAUGAACAAGUUACUCCGGAAAGAUUGAUGAUAGUAUGAAAUUAGUAAUAAAUGUAUCAAGUACUUACCUUUGAGUGGUGUGUAACCUCUUUCAACAAGAUGUUUGUAAUGAGCAUAGGCCAAUGUGCCACAUGCACUUGAAGUCCAGAAAGUGAUGACUGGGAUUUGAAGUUCCUCCUUAACAUUGAGAGCGAAGGACAUGCCACUGUCUGCUACUAUGCAAGUUACAGGCGGGACAACAUUUGAUGAAUUGAGUUUGGCAAGAAGGUUGCGAAAUGGGACUAAGCAAGCCUUUGAGAUAGAGUCACAGAGAAAUGAAGUGUCUUGGGUAACAUCAGCAUCGAUCUGAUCGCCUAGACCAUCUGGAAUGGUUUCAAACUGGAAAUCAGGCAAGACAUCAAGGGAGUUACGGCCUCUGGACUUGAGCAAACGUCUGUGAUUGUAUUCAGAGUUGACAAAGGUGAUGUGAAAGCCUUUGUGAUGGAGUAGUUUUGCUACUUUGAGCAUAGGAGUUAUGUGACCUUGAGCUGGAUAUGGGACGCACACGGCAUGAGCCUUGGUGCUCUUUGGAAGAGAUCCCAUGUUUCUCACUCUCUGAGUUUUUGUAUUUCACACCUUCUAUGAGUUAGAAGACUGAAUUUAUUGGUCACCAGUUAUAUAAGGAAUUGUGAUUACUUCUUAUAUGGUCCAAAAUCAAUACGCAUGAGUUUUUUUUUUAUCAAUACACUUUAGUUAUAAAAAUGAUUAAUUAGUUUGCAAUUACAUGGCAGUGAAUUAUUUAUCAUAUAAGUUUAUUCAAUCAAGGUAUUGGUGAGGAUGUCAUGGCCGGUGAUUGGCAUCAUAUAUUAAUUAUUAACAAUAAGUGCCUUUUUUUUUCUUCCACGUUUUCAGGUGGAUAUACCAUAGUUAUUAAACCCGAUCCAGGGGUUGACCCGACCAAGAAGCCGGGUUUUGGAUUUUAUGGGACAACCCGGAUCAACUCGGGUCAACCCGGAUCACUCGGAAAAAUUAAAAAUAUAUAUUUAAAAUUUUAAUAUUUCAUAUGAAAAAAAUUCAUGUAAAUAUAGGCUAUAUAUAUUGUAAAUAAUGAAGUUUAAAAGAAUAUUUUUUUAAAAAAUUAUCCCACAUUAAAAAGAUACUUAAACAAAUUUUUUUUUUAUCUCGUAUUGAAAAAAUAAAACAUUUUUCUAGUAUUUAUAUAGUGAACUUUGAAAAGGAUUAAUAACCAACUAAAAAAUAUUAAAAAAAAAUCUAGAAAAAAAAUCACAUUUAAAAAAAACAAUCUCAUCCAAGUUCGUCCGAGUCACUAGAGGGGCAAAUAUAACAAAUUCUUCUAUUUUACUCAUAUUAAUUUAUAAAUACGAAGGUGAAAUAAUCAAUAUCAGCCUUUCUCCAACAGUAAUUCAUUUAAGUUUGUUGGCAAAACAAGACCCGAAGUAAGAUAGAAAAUUCACCAAUGUAUAGUCAACAUGUAUAUAACAACCCUUUCAAAAUCAAAGCCCUAAUUUAUCAAGCAGCAAUACUUCAAAGAAAGUUAAAGCUUCUGCCUCGACGGCGCAUGACAACUCUUCAACAGCAAGAAGAAGACUCUGAAGAUAACUUACCCCCGUCAAGAUCCUUCUACCAGACAACCAAAAUGGAUUCUCUAAACUACAACAUGAUAUACCAGCACAGGAAGUACAGCAGCAUAAAAUCCAUUCGAUCAAGUCAACGAUGAUAAUCAAACAACUCCCAUCACAAGGUCUCUCUUUCCAGUUCUGGCCAGCGGCUGCAACUCCCUUCACUCUCAUUGAGAACCACAACACCAGCCCUUUAUCACCGAUUCUUGAUACAAUAUCCAACGGGUCUCGUCCGGGUUUGCCCGGGUUGCCCGGUUCAUAGGUCGACCUGCCGGGUCGACCAGGUUUUGCCAGGUUGUUGCCCCGACCGGUCUUUUAUUAAACCCAGACCGGUCCAAUCACCGGGUCAAUCGGGUCCCGGGUCAACCCGCUGGGCCGGGUGACACAACUAAAGAGUUGAUGUCUUCUCCCAAGUGUAGGAGUGUCGAAGUAAUAUAUAACUCGGCAAGAGCGGGGUCGAACCACAUGGAGGUUAACUGUAUAAAGUACAAAUAAAGAAAUAGAUAAUAACAAAAAAGGAGUUGAAGAGAGCUUUGAGAUGUGAUAUUGAUAUAAGGAUUAAACAAUGAUAAAAUAAUUAUCAAGGUUAGAGGGUCCACUAAUGGUAUUUCAAACAAGUAUAUUAUAAACUAUCAUUACAUGCUCAACAUGUUGUGUAUCCAAGACAAUAAAAUCUACAGGAUAAAUGAAUUUAUCAACUAGUACUAACACAUCCUCAACUAUUCCUCUAGGCACUUUUACAAAUCUAUCAGCAAGUAAGAGAGUUACAGAAGUUGGUUUUAACUCAUCUAAAUUGAGACUUUGAAAAACUGAAUAUGCAAGUAAAUUCACACUAGCUCCAAGAUCAAGUAAAGCUCUUUCAAUUUUAUGUUCUCCAAUAAAGCAAGAAAUUGUAGGACAACCAGGGUCUUUAUAUUUCAAAGCAUUAUUGUUCUGAAGAAUAACACUUACUUGUUCAGCUAAAAAGGCUUUCUUUUUCACAUUCAAUUUUCUCUUCAUAGUGCACAGAUCUUUCAAAAAUUUAGCAUAAGAAGGUACAUGCUUAAUAGCAUCCAACAAAGGUAUAUUGAUCCUUACCUGCUUGAAAGUUUCAAAGAUUUCAGAGUUGUGAUUGACUUUCCUUUGUUUGGUCAUGGCAUGAGGAAAUGGAAAUGCUGGCGGGGAAUCAGUCUUUUCAUUGCAAUGUUCAGAUUCAACCAUUUCCUUACCCUUAGAGAUUUACUCAUCAUAUUUCUCGUAAGGUUCAAAAGUGGGUUUUUCAAUAACCUUACCACUGUGAAAAGUGAUGACUAAUUUGACUUGAUCCAUGUGUUGGCUUCCAGAACUACUUGCAUUAACAUUGCAAUGCUCCUUUGGAUUUUGCUAUGGUUGAGAUGGAAACUUAUGUUUCUCUUGAAAACUGAGAGCAGAUGUGAAUUUUGCAAGAGUAUCUUUAAAAUCUGUCAUGCUUUGAGCAAGUUGAGUGUUGAUUGUCUCUUGCUUUUCAAUGAAUGCAUGCAAUGCUUUCUCAAGAUUUCUUCUAGGAGGUGGAGUAUAAGGAGGUGCAUAUCCAUGAGAAUUUUGGAAAUUAUGGUGUGCUUGAAAUGGUGGCUGUGAAGUUUGCGCAUCACUCUUCCAACUGAAAUUUAGGUGAUUUCUCCAACCAGGGUUAUACGUUUGUGAGUAUGGGUUAUGAUUAGGCCUUUGGAGACUGUUUAAAGCAUGGGCUUGUCCAUGGAGGCAUUCCCUAAAAGAAGGCAAAGUUGGACAAUCAUUUGUUGAGUGUUCAUUGGUUUCACAGAUUUGACAUACAAUGUCUUGAAAAUAUUUUAAUUGACCACUCUUUUUCAAUUCUAUUACCUCGACUUUUUUAGCUAAAGAUGCAACUUUGGUUUGGAGGUCAUGAUCUUCCUUAAGGUUGUACAUUCCUCCACUAGAUGUAUGAGAUAGAGUUUUACUUGGUGCUUCAUAAGUGCCUGUAGUGUCCCAAUUUUGAGCAUUUUCAACUAGCAAGUCUAGGUACUCCAUUGCUUCAUUAAGGUCUUUAUCUUCAAAAGUUCCACUACACAUCGAUUCCACCAUUUGUCUAUCUUUAGGUGUUAACCCUUUAUAAAAAUGUGAAACCAAUCUCCAUGUUUCAAAACCAUGAUGAGGGCAAGUAUGAAAUAAGUCUCGAUACCUAUCCUAACAUUGGUAAAAUGUUUCUCCUAGUUUUGGAGUGAAAGUAGUGAUUUGUCUUUUGAAAGAGUUUGUUCUGUGAGAUGGAAAAAACUUUUUUAAAAAUUAUUAUUGCAUUUCAUCCCAAGCACUAAUGGAUCCUGACCUAAGAUUUUAUAGCCAUGUUUUAGCUUUAUCUUUUAAUGAAAAAGGAAAAAGCUUUAAUCUAGUGGUGUUCAUGCUACAAUUUAAGUCAUUAUAGGUGUUACAGACCUCCUCAAAUUCUCUCAAAUGCAAGUAUGGAUUUUCUAAAUUUAAGCCAUGUAAAGAAGGUAAAAGUUGAAUAAUGCCUGGCUUAAAAUUAAAAUGAGAUGCAUCAAGGGGGAAAACUAUGCAUGAGGGUGCACUUGUUCUUGUGGGAUUCAUGUAGUCUCUAACUGUUCUAACACGGUUAUUCUCAUUAUUCUCAUUAUGAAGCGACUGGUUAUCUUCUUCGGCCAUAUUUUCUGAAAAUGAUGAGGAUACCCUACAAAGUUUACCACUUAAUGUAUGUAGCCAAACUCUCAUGCACGUGUGGGAAGAGAAUAAAAUGGAGAAAAGAAAAGAAAAGAAAAGAAAAGAAAAGAAAAAACAAAAAAAAAAAAACAAAAGAAACAAUAGUUAGAUAAAAUGAGAAGUGAAAAGAGAAUAAAAUAAAUAUUAUAAUUUAUAUAAGAAUUUACUUCCCCGGCAACGGCGCCAAAAACUUGACACGACCAAAGAGUUGAUGUCUUCUCUCAAGUGUAGGAGUCUCGAAGUAAUAAAUAACCCGACAAGAGCGGAGUCGAACCACAUGGAGGUUAAUUGUAUAAACUACAAAUAAAGAAAUAGAUAAUAACAGAAAAGGAGUUGAAGAGAGCUUUGAGAUGUGAUAUUGAUAUAAGGAUUAAACAAUGAUAAAAUAAUUGUCAAGGUUAGAGGAUCCACUAAUGGUAUUUCAAACAAGUAUAGUAUAAACUCUUUUUAUUACUCAACUAGAAACCACACACAAAGAAGGUUCCAAUCGAAUUGUAAAUUGUUAACAUGAUUAUAUCAGUUAUCUUAUUCGAAUAAUGUUAAUACUUGUAAAUGUUGUCAGGUAUUAAUGAUUAUAACUUAUGUUAACAACAAAUCAAGUUCCUUUCAUAGCACAGGUGUCGGUUAUACCAUACGGUUGGGCUAUGAAAGUGUCAAGUAUUUGUUGUACUAAAGGUUAUACAACAUAAAUCUAGAUUAACCAUUUAACAAGCAAAGUAUUAAAAGUGAACAAGAUAACAAACACAAAACAUGUUAGUAUCAAACAUUAAAGUCCAAGUUGAGUUUAUUCUAUACUUAUUCUUACACCAUUAGUGUAACCUUUUCACCUUGAAAUAAUAAACUUAGCUAAACAUAAUGAAAGAGAGAAACAUAAAUAAAUAAGAUAAGAACAUAAAUAAGAUAUAAGUUAACUAAGUAAAGGAAAGGAAAUGGAAAGCAUAAACAAGAGAUUAAUAUAAACAAAACUUAAGCAUUACAAAAAUAUAAAGAAAGAGAGCAAGAACAUGAUCUUGAUCUGAAAACCAAGAUACAUAAAUGCACGACAAAUGCCUCCUUUUAUAGGCCAAAAUUUGGAACUAUUGAUUUGAUGACUAAUUGUUGAGUGCGUGGCCACAUCUUGACUUCGUGACAAUCCUUAUCUUCUUGUCUAAACAAAACGUCAUUGCUAAUGUUAGAAUUUGAACAGAUUGUCCACAUGAAAGUUCAAGGAAAUUUUCUCAGCUUUCCAACAAAAAAAGAAUCGGUGCAUUUGGACUUCUAGAACUCGAGAUAUGGGCUGAACAUUAAACAGUGUCUGGGCUGCAGGACAGAUUCUGACUUCUUUGUUGUUGCUAAGAUUUGGACUUCUAAACAGCAGAUUUGAGUCUUUAACUCCUCAUGAAUGUUUUAGGCUUAUGUCUUAAAUUUCUUGCCAUAUAAACCAAAUUGAAAUCCAAGCUCUACAGCUCCAGAUAUGACCCAAUGACUGAACAGUGUUCCAGUUUGGACUGAACCAGCAUCUUUUUUCUAAGCUUAACCCUCUCUUUGUCUUCUGAAUUUCAGUAGUUGAACUCAUCAAUCAAUCCUUUGAUUUAUGUGAUAGACUUGCAUUUAAGAUGAACAUUUACCAUAAAUUAAAGGUAUCUUAUAUUAUUAGACAUGUUAUUAUAAAACAUGCUCUAGUUAAGGAGUUAUUGAUACUUCAAGUGCAAAAUGAUGAUAUAAAACCUUGAUAAAAAUAUACUUUUAAGUAUAAUCACCGAGCCGAUUUAAUAACUAUGGGAUAUACUAGAAGAACACUCGAAAUCAAUUAAUAAAAUAAAAUAAAAUAAGAGCUUGUAAAUUAUUGUUACUCUUAAGAGAAUAAAAUGGAUAAAUUUGUAGCACCUUCAUGAAUGAGAGUUUGAUAUUUGGGUACUUGAUUGUGGUAACCCUGAAUGAGAGUAAAUUACAAUCCAUUCAUUGUAGUUUGAUAAAAAUAAAAAAAAAAUUUAAAAAAUUUAAAAAAUAUAUUUUUUAUUUUUUAAAAUAAUAACAAUAAUUUAUAAUUAACUCGUUUAUGUCGUUGAAUUAAAUAUUCAAAAUUACGUAAGACAAGACGUGAUGAUACCUUUUGGGUUGUCGUGCCCCUUCAGCCGCUCACGAGCUCCUAAACAACAAAGUAAGCUCACCUCAUAAUUUGGGUAACAAAUUAUAUGGUUAGACAAAUACUAUGGUCUCUAUCACUUACUUCAGUGUUUAUUAUUUUAACAUGCAGAAACCUAUUAUUCAAUCGUCGUAUUGUCGCUAGCUACUAGUAGUACUAGCCGCCCUUCAUGACCUCUAUAAUUUCAAAAGAAUCCGCAAUAAAAUUAUAGUCUUAUGGACCCAGACAUGGAUUGCAUGUUCAGACUAGAAGCAAAAUUUCAAGAAGUUCUUGAUAAUAUAUAUAUUCAAGAAUUAAAUGAAUAAAAUCAUUUUCAAUAAGUCAAAAUGAUAUCCCACAUCAGUUUUAUUCAAAAAUUUCCCUUGGGCGAGGUUAGGGAAAACAUGUUAGACCAACUCAAUGUUGUUUCGGACUGUGUGGACUAUAACGAUUGACUAUUGCUGUUAUUAAUAUUAUGAUUAUCCUACGACUUGAGAAACUUUUUUCCUCUUCUUUUAUAUUAUCACUGCAUGCAUCUCUUCUUCUCUUUGACUUGCUUUAAAAAUCAUAAUCACAGACUAUAAUUUUAUUUUCCCUUGUAUACAAGCCUUGAAAUCCUUGGCACACUUCAACCCAAUUCUGAGAUUUUGAGAAACAAAAUAAUUAAACUACUCUUGCUAAUCGUAUAAAAGGCAGCUGGUUGUCAAGACCAUGGAAGACGCUGGAUCUCGGCUUAUAAGAGAAUGAACAAGCAGUUGUCUGCAUGGGAUGCCAAAUUGUUUAUUCUAAGUCGACAGGGCAUGAUUUUCAGCGUUAAAUGUUCAAGUGCUAAUUCCUAGCCUGCUUUAGUGAUAUUGGCAUCUUCUUUCAAUGCUGUUAAGCUUUUGAUUGCGCACUGGUUCGAGAGUUAAGUUGAAGUGUGUUAUAGAAUGUUGGAAAGUUGAAAUGUUUUUUGUUUAAAAAUAUAUUAAAAUAAUAUUUUUUUUAUUUUUUAUAAAUUAUUUUAAAUAAAAAAAAUUACAUUUUAAUAUAACAUGUCUCAACAUUUCUAAACCACCUGUACCUCGAGGUUCAUGCCAGUGCAGCAUUCGCAUAACAAUCUUGCCAGACCAUUGUGAAAUUUAUCAAACACGUAAUUCACCCAUCACUACUCUGGAAACAUCCAAUAAUGACAAGUUUCACAGCGAACCAUGUUAUUUGCCAAACUCAAUGUAUCACUUGGAUCACCAUCAAUCUUGAACCCCACUUGCUAAUAGAGAAAGAAGCUCGUAGAAGCAAUAUAUAUAUAUAUAUAUAUAUAUAUAUAUAUAUAUAUAUAUAUAUAUAUAUAUAUUGUAACCAAUCAAAAUUUGCCAUGUUUCAUCUUUAUUUUAAUUUUUUUACAUAAAAAAUGAAAUAAAUUACAUGGAGAAUAAAUUGAUCUUUAUAUGUGUUUUGACUAAUGGAAGGUUGAUACGUGAGAUGAGAUAUUUAAGAUUUUUUUUUCAUAAUAUAAGAUUUCAUAAAUAAAAAUCAACUAAUAAAACAAUGUCAUGUGACAUUGAUAAAAGACCGGGGUACCCCUAUAAAUCUCCAUAAAUAGAGGACCUCACACUAGACAAAAAAAAAUGAUUAUUGGAGAUACAACUUCUUCAAGUAAGAAAGUUCUCUCAAAAGCUCUUAAGUAUCCUUCAUCUAUAUUUCAAGUCUGCAAAGAAGGAAACUCUGUUGGAUUAAGCCUAAACACUUUGAAAUCAAAUCAAAGGUACUCUUCAGAGCACCAAAUCUUGUUUCACAAUUCACAUCUAAAUUCAUGUUCUUGCAAAUCACAAAUCUUGGCUUGAUUUCACAAAUAAAUAAGUCACCAUAUAUUAAGUUCAAGAGAAGAAUCAGAGGAUUGUUAUAUUAAAUAGAGAUUGUACGUAGUCAUAUGUUUUAAUAAAAUCAAAUAUUUAUACACAUGUUUUUGCUUAAUUUUCAGGUACUCAAAAUUAUAUCUAUAAAUUUCUGGCGACUCCACUGGGGAUAUCUCUACAUCUUAUCUAUUCCAUUCAAGAAAGAAUUUCCAACAACCUCUUAAUGGCAACUAGAAAAAACAUGAUCACUGUUGUUGUUUCUAAAAGCAACAAAAUUGUGCAAACUAAGUUGAUUCUUGAGACGAUGUUAGCGUUGAAUGCAUGAGGUGCACGAGAAUUCACUUGUUCAAUGAUAAAAAAUACAAGUAACUCCACCAUAAAAAUCAAAUGUGGGGUGUGAAUUUCUUAGGCACUUAAGGUUAUUAAUUCGGAAAUUCACUCGUGGAGACUUCUCUUUAUCAUUCACCAAGUAACUUCAGGUUUUGGUACAUGUUAGUGAUGAUAACCGGGACUGUAUCUUUGGAGUAUCAAAUAGCUAACUUGACAAAACUUGUUGAAGGUUUUUCGACUUCACUCAAGGAAAAGGACCACAACAUAGGAAAGUUGAUGAACAAACUUUAGAGCAUGAAUGAGGGUGGCUAAACUUCGACUAGCAAGGUUAUGUAAAAAGAUUAGUUGGAAUGGUAGAGGGAAUCCAAGAUAACAUGUAUCUCACUUUAUGGAGACUUGCAACAAUGUUAGAAUUGAUGGUGAUCUCAUAGUAAAAUAAUUUGUCUAUUUCUUAAAAGGCAAUACCUUCGACUAGUACACUAACUUGGAGUCUAGCUUAAUCAAUAGUUAGGAGUAAUAAAAUGUGAGUUUCUUAAUCAUUUCAACAACACUCAUCAUGUGGUUAGCAUGAUUGAACUCUCUAAUACAUAUCAAUGAGAAGAGGAGCAUGAUUGAACUCUUUAAAGCUAAAAUGAAUGAUCACACAACACCAUUUGCUUUUUAUAAGGGUAAAAGGAAGAAACCAUCCUUGAAAAAAGUGACAAGAAAAGGAGUAACCAUUCCUUAACUCGAACAUAUCUAGGAUGCUAGAUGUUUUGCUUGAAGAAAAUAUUAUUAAGCUAUUGGAUCUUAAACAUCUCGAAGAAGCAAACCAAAUAGAGCACCUAAUUUAUUGCAAAAACCACCGCCUAAUUAACCAUCAUAUAAAUAAGUGUUUUGUGUUAAAAGACAAUAUCAUGAGGCUAUAUAAGAAUGGAGACAACAUUUUUAUGAUAAAAUAACAGCUUCCAACAUUACGACUAUGGUGAGUUUAGGUUCACAACAAUCACUAUUUGUGAUUAGUUUUAGCUUCUUUAAACCUAUAUAACUUAGGAUCAUUGUGCCUACGAUCAUCACCAUGUCUUUAAGUCAAGCUUCACAUAUCACACAUGUACCGCAAGGUAAUGACUUGAAGCCUAAUUCAUGUGAGAAUCAAGGUUGUUAAAAUCGCGAUUUUAACACGGCACGGAAAAUGCAAUACAAACUCGGAUCGUAAAAACGGAUCGUAAAAUCGUAAAAUCGUAAGGAAUUUUAAAAUACAUUAACAUUUUAUGAUUGUAAUUAAUUUUUUGUUAUACAUAACAAUUCAAAAAACUAUAAUACUGAAAUGGAAUCCUAAAAUCAUUAAUUCAAUUCAAUUCAGUCCAAUUAAUUCAGUCCUAUAAUACUGAAAUGACAUUCAAUUCAGUCCAAUUCAACAAUUUUCAGUCCAAUUUCACCCCAUAAUCAAUUCAAUUCAGUCCAAUUAAUUCAGUCCUAUAAUACUGAAAUGACAUUCAAUUCAAUCCAAUUCAACAGUUUUCAGUCCAAUUUUCACCCGAUUAAUUCAAUUCAAUUCAAUUCAGUCCAAUUAAGUCAAUCAAGAUAUAUACUGAAAUGGCAUUCAAUUCAAUCCAAUUCAACAAUUUUCAGUCCAAUUUCACCCGAUCAGUUCCAUUCAAUUCAAUUCAACAUUAUAAAUAUACAAAUUACAGGACCGGGCACAAUCUAAAUUGUAAUUAAUAAUUAUAGGGUCACAGGGCAAAAUCAAAAUCUAUUACAGGGGAAUAUACAAUUAUGAUUUACAGGGCAAAAUCAACUACUGCAGUGAUGAUGAUGAAGGCAAAAUCAACUUAUGGUGAAGAGUCGUUGAUGAUGAAGGCUGAAUGGCUGCCGAUGAAGAGGCCCGAUGUCACCUGCUGCUGUUGAUGAAGAGGAAGUCGUCAGUUGUUGAUGAUGGGAAAGAAAGGAGAUCGUUGUCGGCGUGCCGCUGUUGAUGAAGAUUGAAGAGGAAGCCCGAAGCCGUGAGCUGUUGAGGAGAUCGUCGUCGCUGUUGAUGAAAAGGAAGUCGCGACCGUGAGCAUUGAUGACUGGACCUGGAGUGAGGAAAGAUAAGGAGUGAAGACUGGACCGUGACCGUGACCGCUUUUGUGGAGAUCGUCGCCGCCGCUUUUGUGGUUGUCGGUGCCUGGUUGGUUAAUUAGAGAAGGGGAUUAGGAAUUUGUUCGGUGAAAGAGAAAGAGUGAAGACUGAACACUGAACACUGAAGACUUUUUUCAUCUUUUGUGACUGAAGAUUGAAGAGUGAAGAACGCGUGGCAUGACUGUGCAUUUCCACAGCCAAUAGGCGCCUGACAGCUGGACCAUGGGGGUGACAUUUUGUUUCAGUGCAUGCAUUUUGUUACAAUCGUAAAAUCGGUCCUGAAAUCGUGAUUUUGCGCGAUUUCAUCCGAUUUUAACGAUUUCACCCGAUUUUAACCUGAUUUCACCCAUUUUUGAUUUUUUCAAACGAUUCAGCACGUAAAGCAUGUUUUGACUAGUAAAAUCAUACGAUUUUACGAGUCAAAACAUGAUUUUAACAACCUUGGUGAGAAUCAUGACAACAAAGGAUGGACUUUGGCCACUUAUAAAGAAAGGGAGGAAGAAGCAUGCACAAAUGACAAAGAUAAUUAUAAUAAGAAUCUUAAUAGUGAAAAAGGCAAUUGACAACCUGAUUCAUUGAAGGACGUGAAAAAAAUCCAUAAUAGUUAGAAAAGAGGUUUUGUAAUUCAAAGCUUAAGGAAACUCAUUACACUAAAUGAGUACAUGCUAAAAGAGCUAAAGAGGAUGGGAAAUAUGUUUGUUGCUUGCUAUCAAGUUGGUGGAGAGAAAACUCAUAUCAAAUAAGCCAUAGAGAAAAGCCUUGAUGACUUUAUACUUGCCUCAAGGUGUAUAUGACAUGAAGAUAUUCUUAAAAAAUAAAGACCUAUCACUUGGAUCAAAACUUCACAAUCUCUUUCUUUUUAUCAAAGGUUAUGUCAUAAAAAAGAUAGUGAAUUGUAUUUUGGUGAAUGAUGGUUCAACUGUCAAUAUACUACCUAUUAAGAACUUAAAAGAGCUUGGGAUUCCUAUGUAUGAACUUUUCCCAAUUCAUCUAAUGAUUUAAAGCUUUAAUUAAGGAGGCAAAACACCAUGAGAAAGAUAAGACUUGCGAUACACAUGGAAGAUAUGAAGUCCAAUGCUUUUUUCACGUUGUAGAGACUAAAACUACCUAUAACAUGCUACUUGGAUGACCGUGGAUACAUGAAAAUGGUUUCAUAAAAGAAGAGGAAAAAAUGAACUCUAGGAGCUUAAAAAGGCCUAAAUCAUCUAUAAAUGAAAAAAUGAUUUGUCCAACAAAAACUAAAGAAAGGGGAAAGGUAGUAGAAAACUUAAUUGAUAAUAAGGUAUCACAUAAGGCUAUAGUACUACACUAUAUCCUAGUAUUAACAAGAAAAAAGGGUCAAUAUUCUUUGCAUUAACCAAAGUUUGAAAACCUAUAUUGAAAGGGUUUGUUCAUCAAGCUGAGUCAAUGGUUGCAAAUCUUAAAUGACUCCCCAAUAAAUGGGAAAACAAGUUUAUAAAAAGACUAAAAGAGUUUGGAGAGAGAAGAAAAUUUAUGGCAAAACUUCAAGGGCUAGGAUAUGAAUCUUUUACGCCAUUUUAUUUUAAUACUAAGAAUGAGAGAUUAUGAUAUAUAAGUGUGGAAACAUUGAAGGAUAAAUAACAAAGUCAGCGUACACAUCUUAGAUCCUUGGUUUAGGAUUGUCUUUGCAUGACUAUGACUCAUGCUUUAGUAUUUGAUAGGACUGGAACCAAAAAAAGUAGAAGGAUACUAAACAAACUUCAAUCAUUGGAAGACUUAGACCAUCCAAGUCAAAAGACGAUAAGAAUAUACACAACCAUCAACCAAUUUUGGUUAAGGGCUUAAAGGAUCUUCAUAGUAAAAUACCUUCACUCAUGAAGUUAGAAAGUGAAUGGGUACUAAUUAUUGAGAUGGCAUUAAGAAUAAAGAAGUGCAUGAUAGUGAUCACAAACCCCUUUAAAGAAAAGAAAAAGAAGAAGGAAAUAAUGCAUCUGACUUCAAAUCAUAUCACUAUUGAAGAGGAUGAUAAUGAUAAGUUUGUUAUUGAAGAAGAUAUUUAGAAGGCUCUGGCUAUUUUUGAAUAAGAAAAUAAAUCUAUGGUUGAUGGACAUAAAAAGGUUAACUUAAGCACCAUUGAAAACCCUAGCCUAACCUUCAUAAAUGCAAACUUAUCACCUAAAGAGGAAAUGAGUUGCAUAAAACUUAUAAUGAAGUACUAAGAUAUCUUCACUUUGUCCUGUGAUUAUAUGCUAGGUUUAAACUUGAAGGUCAUUAUUCAUUAAUUAUCAGUAAGAAAUAGGAUCAGACUUGUAAAACAAGCUUGACAUCACUUUCAUUCUAAAGUUGUCUCAUAAAUUGAGGCAAAAGUCAACAAACAUAUCCAAGAAGGUUUUAUUCGUGAGGUCAAGUAUCGUACAUGUAUUUCAAAUAUCAUGUUAGUAAAAAAAGAAUGGCCAAAUCCAUGUUUAAGUGGAUUUUUGAGACCUUUAACAAUAAUUGUUCCAAUUAUGACUUCCCAUUUCCAGUCACUAAGAUUAUAGUUGACGCUACCACAAGCCAUGAGAGUAUAACCUUCAUGUAUGAUUCAUCUAGCUAUAAUCAAAUUCAAAUUGUACUCGAAGAUGAGGAAAAGAUAGUCUUUCAGUCUAAAAAAUAAUUUACUAUAAGGUCAUGUCUUUUGGCUUGAAGAAUAUAGCUUCCAUUUACCAAAGGGAAAUGUAAAAGAUUUUUGAUGAUAUGCUUCACUAAUAUGUUGAAUGCUAUGUUGAUAACCUUAUGGUGAAAUUAAAGGAAAAAGAAAUUUAUUAUAAGAUCUCCAUCCGAUGUUCAAAUAAUAUUGAUUCCAACUAAUACCCACUAAAGUGUUUUGGUGUGACUUUAGACAAAUUCGUAGGAUUCAUAGCUUGAUAUCAAGGAAUUAAGACUAAUCAGUUUAAUAUCGAUGGCAUCCUAGAGAUGUUAGAGCCAAGAAACAUCCACGAGCUAAAUAGUCUCCAAGGAAAGUUGGCUUGUAUACGAAGAUUCAUUUAUAACUUAACUAGUUAAUGUCAACCAUUCAUUCACUUGAUAAAGAAGGAUACGUUGUUUUGUUGGGGUGAAGCCUGCACUAAUGCCUUCAACAAGAUCAAAGAGUACUUGUUAACAUCUCUCCUAUAAGCACCAACAUCAGAACGUUUAUUUACCUAAUAUAUUGCGACUCAAAUCUAAUAUAUUGCGACUCAAAUGUGUUCUUUGGGAGUGUUGUUAGCAUAAAAAAAUGAUGGAGGUUAGGAGAGCGCUCUCUACUACCUUAAUAAGGCUUUAAAUAGAGUUGAACUAAAUUAUUCUCUAAUAGAGAAGACAUGUCUAGUGUUAAAGGUUACGAUAAAAAAAUUAAGGAAUUAUAGCCAAGCACAUUCAGUAUGACUAAUUUCUUGAGUCGACCUUUUCAAAUACAUUAUCUUAAGGCAAAUACGAUCAGAGAGAUUGACAAAAUGGUCAUUAUUGCUUUAAGAAUUGAAAUUUUUUAUCUAUUACAAUUAAAAGGCUAUUAGGGGGAAAACAUUAAUCGAUUCUCUACUCGAUUAUCCUACUCAUGAUGAAUGAAAGUUUUAUAAAGACCUACUUGAUAUGGAUUUCUUGUUCAUUGAAAUGUCAAAACCUUGGAAAAUAUUCUUUAAUGGUGCAGCAUGACAAAAUAGAGUUUGUGCCGAAGUAAUUUUCGCCACACUUUAAAGAGAGGUCUUGCCACUCACCUUCUUUCUUGUUGAAUGUUGUUCCAACAAAAUGGUCGGAUAUCAAGCCUUGAUUCUUGGGUUGAAAAAUGAGAAAUUAUAAGGAAUAAAUUAUUAAUACUGGGAUGAAAAAUCCCAAUAAAUUUAUUUAGAUCAUGGAUGGAGUAGAGAAAUAAAUUGGUAUACGAAACAAUAUCCGAAUUAUAAAUCGUGUAAGUUUUCUAAUCAGGUAAGAUAGUUAUUUAAAAGAAAGUUUUAUGAAUUGUGAUUAAAAUAGUUAGAAAACAAUUAAAAAAUAGAAUGAAACUCUGAACAAACUAAUAUAUGAUUUUACACGUGAAUAUCGUACAAUUGCAUGGUUUUUAACCGAAAAGAAAGGGAAUUUAGGGGGAGAAUUUUUAUUAUGAAUAGGGAUGUAAGUCCCCAAUGAAUUAUUUUGAAGAUCUUGACAAUUUUAAUAAAUAAAAUAAUACCUAAAUUUGGGUUUUUAGUGUAAAAUUACCUACUGUUCAAAUUUACAAUAUCAAUCAUAACUCUCAAUCUAACCAUUUAAUCAAGUUGAAAUUUUAUGAGGAGUCACCUGACAUAUGAACUAUUAGUGACUUUUGUAUAAUAUUGAGAAAACAUCCCUCCUAUUUUUCUUUAAAAAGGGUUUGUUGUUCCAAUAGUAAGGUAGGGAAAAAUUUUAAUUUUACUCCAUCAUCUUCUUCUACUUCAUUUUUGUUUUCUUAAAUUAUCGAUAAAGACUUGAUUUUGGACUAAAUUUAAGGAAGGUUUACGAGGAAAACUAUACAUCAACUUGUUUAGGAGAGGGGGAAACCAAGAGAUGAUGUUUUAGAGAGAGAAAGUAAGGAAUUUGAAAAGGGGAGAAGGGAAGGAGAAGGAAGUUGCAAGAAAUCUCUCACCUUUUCUUCCACGCUAGUUGGUAAAUUGUUAUAGCAACUUAAAUUCUUUUUAUUAUGAGUUGCCAUGCUUAGGGGAAGAAAUCCUUAAUUUACCGAAUCUAGCCAUGCACUGCUUUUUCAUCACAAGGAGCGAAAAGCCAGUUAAAAACCCAACUGAAGGUAUCGCUCUGAGUUAGGUCAACAGAUUGAGGAUGAGAGAAAGAAGCUCAUCAGUGUUGAUUUUCCUGAGUGAGUAACUCGUUUUCCGGUAGUGGUAAGGAUUCGGUAAGCAGCCUCGAAAGCAUUCCGUCCUAGCUUUAAAGUCGAUGCUAGCUUUUGAGUUCUAAGAGAAGUUGAGGGAAAAUGGGUUUUUUAAUGGUAAAUUCUUAAAUGGAUAUGGAUUAGUUGCUAGAAUGAGUAGAAUAACGAUGUGCAUUGAAAGAAAAAUCAUGGGUAACUAUAAACCCUAGAGCCAACUAUGAAGGGAAUUUAGGGGAAAUGAUGAAUUGAGUUAAAUUGUAAGAAAUUAUAUUAUAUUUUAAUGUGUAUGUGUGAUACAUAUAUGAUGUAGGAUAAGUAUUUGGUUUGAGAAUAUAAGCAUGCUAUAGGAUUGUGUAGGGAACUUAUAUUAUGGAAAUGGUAGGAAAGGUGUUAGAAAUUUCUUGUAUAAUUGAGUGAAAGAUGUUGGGUUGAAUGUGGGAUGAUGAUGAUUGAAUUUAAAAGGGUUGAGUAAGUAGAGUAUGGAAGGAGAAAGGUUUUGUGUGUUGUAAUAUAAAAGGUACAUGGAUUAAUAUAAAUGCUUUAGAAUUUGUAAUCUGUAAUCGAGAAAAAAAAAGUAUAAUUUAAUUCUUGUUGGUAUGUUAUAAUAUACUGGAAAGUAUAGGAAGGAUGUUGGAACUUUUGAUGUUAAAAUAUUGUUUAUUGAACAAAAAUGGAGAUAAAGGGUUUAAUGAAUGGUUAUGAAUUUAUAUGAAAGAUUAAAAUAUUAUUAUUAAGGUAGAGUUUUGUUUAGGAUGCAUGAACUACAUGUAUGAAAUUUAAGAAAUUUAUUUAGGUUGAAUGAGAAAAAUUAUUGAAUUGGAUGAUGUGUUGUGUUUAAUAUUUUGUUAUGGAAAUAAACAUGUUUGAAGAAUAAAUUAUGAAUGUUUGGAAAAAAUCUCAAAUGAUGUUUAAAUUAGUCGGGGAAUUGACUUAUGAAUUUAUGAGAAAAUAAUUCAAGAGGUUGAUUUUGAUUAUUUUAAUUAAACUAUGAUUUGUUGUGAAAUCUUGGUAUAAAGGAGAAACCUAGAUGUGUUGUACCUUAUGGAAGAAUAAAAAAAUUAUAUGCUUGAUAACAUGAUUUCAAUGGUGAAAGAUUAGGCAAAUUGUAUUAAAUUUAAUGUUUAUAUGGAAGUAGUGUUUGGAAGGAUGAAAGAGUUAUGUCUAGCAUAAUGGGAAUUUAUACAAGAUAUGUCAUUUAGAAACGGGUCAUCAAAUAAUUGAGUAAGAAAAGAAGCAUGGAAAAUGAAGAAAAUAUAUGAAAUUAGUGUUUUAAACAACAUUAAAGAUGUUUGGAAUAAUUUAAAUUGGUUUUCUUGAAUUUUCUAAGUAUGAUUUAAGUUAAAUAAUUAUGAAAAUGAGAAACCUAGAGACUUGUGAUGAUUAGGUAAUAUUUGUAUAAAUUGAUAAGGUGUGAAAGUCAAUUUUUGGUAGUUAGGAUGAAAUUGGGGGUUAUAACAUGAUUUAAGUGUGAGGACAUGAUAGUAGAAAAUAUAGGAAUAUAUAAUCCUAGAUUGAUGUGGUUGUAAUGCAUAUUGACUAAAGAUUGGGUUAAAUUAUGUUGUUGUAAUGAUUUACAUUGAUUGAUUUGAAGUAUAAAUAAUAGGGUUGAUUGUUUUGGGUGUGAAUAUGAAAAAUGAAAAUUUAAUCAUGUAAGUGUUAGAAAUUUUAAGUUGAAGUAAAUUGAUUGUUACAAUAAAAAUUAGUUGUCUAGUUAGAUAAGAAUUUAUUGCUAUUAUGAGGAGUUAUAGAAGAAACAUUCAGAGUGGGGUCGACUUCUUAUGAGCUCUCAAUGCAAGAGAUUUCCUCUCCCUUGCCUUUUGCUUUAUUAUAAACGCCUUUGUGAUUUAUUAGAUUUACAAUAUUAUUUAAUUGUGUUGUGUAUAACUGUUCGUUUUAAGAAUUAUGCCUAUGAGGUAGAAAGUUGUGUUUAAUGUGUAAAUGAUUGCAAAUGCAGUAAUGUAUAUACGAAAUAUAAUUGUCUGCAUGCAUGUAUAUAAUAUUUUUGUUAGAGUAAUUCUGAGAUUCAAAAAAUAAAAAGAAUAUAUAUAUAUAUGAAAUACACACAUUACUUCAAUAAAAAUAAAUUUCAAUAUAAUUAACAAUAAAGAAAAAAAAUNNNNNNNNNNNNNNNNNNNNNNNNNNNNNNNNNNNNNNNNNNNNNNNNNNNNNNNNNNNNNNNNNNNNNNNNNNNNNNNNNNNNNNNNNNNNNNNNNNNNNNNNNNNNNNNNNNNNNNNNNNNNNNNNNNNNNNNNNNNNNNNNNNNNNNNNNNNNNNNNNNNNNNNNNNNNNNNNNNNNNNNNNNNNNNNNNNNNNNNNNNNNNNNNNNNNNNNNNNNNNNNNNNNNNNNNNNNNNNNNNNNNNNNNNNNNNNNNNNNNNNNNNNNNNNNNNNNNNNNNNNNNNNNNNNNNNNNNNNNNNNNNNNNNNNNNNNNNNNNUAGUAUUUUAUAGGUCCUUUUAUAUUAUAUUGUUAUUUUAUCAUCAAAUAUUAAUUUUUUGGAAUUUAUCUUGGUGAUUUUUAUUCACUUUCUUUUCUAUUUGGUUAUCACAAUCCUAUGCCCAUAAUCGCGGUGCUAACGAGUUAACUUGGUUUGACUCAGAUGUUUUUUUCACUUUCAUGCUUCAACAUUUUUUUAUUAAGAAUUAUGCUUCGUUGUUUUUUUUUAGGUUUUCCUUCUACAUUGUCAAUCUCAGUCUUAUGACCAAUGACACGAGUUUUAAAGGUUAACACAUGUUGACUUUUAUUUUUGUUGGAUUUGUUUUUAAAUUUUCAUUUUUAAACAUUUUUUUUAAUUUUGUCUGUGUUUUUUUUUUCUUUCUACGAGGUCAUCUAAAUCAUGUGCUUAUGGUUGCAAGGUUAAUAGGUUAAUGUGAGAUGACCCAAAUCUUUUUUUUUUUCAUUGGGUUUUUUAGAUGAAUUAUUUUUUUAAUUUUUGUCAUUUACCUUUGGGUUGUUUUAUAGUUGAGCUUCACAACUUGAUUUAGUUCGCUUUCAUCAAUGACUUUUUUUUUACCUUUUAUUGACAUAAAUAAUCAUUUGAAAUAAAGUUAUUAAACACAACUGAGUACAUUACUCGUGUUAUGAGAUCAAAUAUUUUAAUUUUAGUUAUCUCUUUAUCAAAUAGCAAUUUAAAUAAUUAGAUGUGAGUAUAAGCAUUUUGAUUUAUGAUUGAAAUUUUUUUCACAAACACAUGUUGGAGAUGGAUGCAUAUUCAUUUUUUUCAUAAAUGUUUUUUUAUUCAAAUCACUGUGAAGCGCGAGUACAAAACUAGUUCUUCUCUACUAGUAAUGAAGAAUCACAAAACAAGUGAUCACUUUACCUUAUGCUUUAUUCAAGCCAAUGUAGGAGUUUACACGGUCUUGGAUCUGGGUCACAAGUCAGAUGAAUUAUUUUAUUUAAAAAAAAAAACUUAUAAAAGAUAUCAUUUAAAAAAAACUAGGUUUUUUGACUGAUCUAACUCAGGUCAGAUCCUAAAUUGAUAAGUUAUUAUAUUAACUUUUUAGUUUAGGUUUAGUUGAGCAUAAUGGAAUGUGUUAGGUUAUGCCUUAGCCAACCUUCCUAUUUAUAUAGAGGCAGCAGAACACUGCAGUAACUGUAAUGAUUACAACAUUCUAUAUUAAUUUCCUAUUCUGAUAGAUACAUGAGUAACUGUAAUGAUUACAACAUCCUAUAUUAAUUUUCUAUUCUGAUAGAUACAUGAUAUACAUUCUAUAAUAUGCCCCCUCAAACUGAGGGUGGGGGAUCAACCCGAAGCUUGAACCGAAAAGCAGUAAAGGAUGCAACAGGAAGCGGUUUAGUGAAGACAUCGACAAGUUGAUCCCGAGAGGGAACAAAACAAAUCUGAAUUUCUUUCUUGGCAACACGGUCACGGACAAAGUGAUAAUCCACUUCAACAUGCUUAGUACGAGCAUGGAAGAUAGGAUUUGCUGAGAGAUAGGUAGCACCAAGAUUAUCACACCAAAUGGUAGGAGUAAAGACUGAGGGAACCUGCAAAUCUGUUAACAAGUAUUGAAGCCAAAUGACUUCAGCGGUACCAUCAGCAAGGGUUUUAUACUCAGCCUCAGUAGAGGAGCGAGCAACAGUGCGUUGCUUGCCGGAUUUCCAAGAAAUCGGCGUCUGACCAAAAAAGACAAGAUAGCCGCCCGUAGACUUGCGAUCAUCAAUACUACCAGCCCAAUCUGCAUCUGUAAAGCCAUGUAGAGCAAAAGAGGAGCCUCGAGUGAUAUGGAAACCAUAAGAUGUCGUACCUUUAAGAUAGCGUAAAAUACGUUUGACAACAGCCCAAUGAGAAUCUGUAGGAGCAUGCAUAAACUGACAGACUCUAUUAACAGCAAAGCAUAUAUCUGGACGGGUGAAGGUAAGAUAUUGAAGAGCACCCAUGAUUUGACAAAAUCGUGUAGGAUCAGAGAAUGAAUGAUCCGGUUAUAAAAUGACUUUCGAAGGGGAGACUGGAGUAUCAACUGGUUUGCAGGAAGUCAUACCAGCUCGGGUGAGGAUGUCAAGAAUAUAUUUAUGUUGACGCAACAUUAAACCCAUACCGGUAGACUGAACUUCAAUACCCAGAAAGUAGUGAACAACACCUAAGUCACGAAGCUUGAACUCAGAGCUGAGUAAUUGUAUAAGGUGAUGGAGCAUAGCAGAGUUGCUACCCGUGAGCAGAAUAUCAUCAACAUACACCAGGAGAUAAAAGAUAUUAGUAUCAUCAGAUAAGAUAAACAGGGAGGUGUCAACCUUGGAAGCUCGGAAACCGAUGGAGAGCAAAAAAUCACUUAGACGAGUGUACCAUGCUCUCGGUGCCUGUUUCAAACCAUACAAUGAUUUGUGCAAUCUGCACACAUGAGAUGGAAGAGAAGAGUCAACAAAACCUGGAGGCUGUUUCAUGUAGACCUCUUCAGUAAGAACACCAUUGAGGAAGGCAUUAUGAAUAUCAAGCUGAUGAAUCUUCCAAUUUCGCGAAACCGCGAUAGAGAAAACCAAUCGGACAGUGGCCUGCUUAAUAACUGGACUGAAGGUUUCAGAAUAAUCAAUACCUUCCUGCUGGGUAAAACCUCUAGCAACAAGGCGCGCUUUAUAGCGCUCAAUACUACCAUCAACACGACGUUUGAUCCGAUAUACCCAUCUACUACCAACAACGUUCAUAGAAGAAUGAAACGAAACCAAAGACCAAGUGCGAUUUGAGCGCAAAGCAGCGAUCUCAUCACACAUAGCAUUAUGCCAAACUGCAUACCGGUCAGCAUCAGAAAAUGCAAAGGGCUCAGAAGAAGGAGAAUGUAGUACCCGUGUGGAGGCAGAGGUGGCGGCAGCAGAAGCAGCCAGGUUUGCUAUCUUCGGCUGCCGCGGUCUAAGAGUCAUAGGAUGGCUGCUGCGUGGUGGUGGAGACGUAGGGGAAGAUGGUGGCAGUGAGGAGACCUGUGGCAGCUGAUAAGAAGAUAAAUCAACCAUAAGUUGCAGACCUGCAGGAGAGGAUGAUGAAGAAGCAGCCUCUAGCAUAGGACUGUCAGCAGAGGAGGGGCUGUUGGCAGAGACCGAAUCUGCAGGAAUGCUGGCCAGGGUGGGCGAAGCAGAGGAGGGGCUAGAGAGUGCCCCAAGACCAUGAGGAGAUGAGAUCAAUUUACAACCUAAACCUGCAUCAUAAGGGUUAGAUAAACAAGCAUGUGAUGAUGGCCAAGGGAUGGUCGGGAGCUGUGGUCGGGUGGCUGUUUGGAGUGGCAGAGCUGUGUUCUGUUGGCUGUUUGGGUGGCUGAUGGAAGUGGGUGGUGGUGGGUGGUUUAACAAGUUUGGAAGGGUAAUAGUAGCGGGUGGGAUGGGGGUUGUGGUGGAAACCUUUGCAAUCUGUUCAGAAUUAUUAAAAGGAAACACAUGUUCAUGGAAACGGACAUGACGGGAAAUAUAAAUACGGUGAGAUGCAAUGUCAAAACAUCGAUAACCAAGAUGGGAGGAACUAUAUCCAAAGAAAACACAUGGAGAGGAACGAAAAUCCAAUUUAUGAUUAUUAUAUGGACUUAGAAAAGGAAAAAAACAGAGACACCCAAAAGUACACAGAAAAUGAUAAUCAGGAGACUGGUAAAAUAAACAAUCAAACGGAGAGCAAUGGGCAAGAACAGGAGUAGGCAUGCGAUUUAUAAGAUAAACAGAGGUUUCAAAAGCAUAAUUCCAAAAUAAAAAAAGGAGCUUUACAUUGCCCUAAAAAAGUAAGACUUGUUUCCACAAUAUGCCUAUGACGACGCUCUACUGUGCCAUUUUGUUCAUGAGUGUGAGGAUAAAUCAGACGAUGAUGAAUACCAACAGUCUGAAAAAAUAUGGAUAAUUUGCGGUAUUCACCGCCCAAAUCAAUUUGAACAGAUUUUAUUUUUAAUGAAAAUUGACGUUCAACGAGAGUAUGAAAUUGAUGAAAAACAGAGUAAACAUCAGACUUGGCAACGAGAGGAUAAUACCAUACAUAUUUAGUAUAAGCAUCAACAAAGAUAACAAAAUAACGAUAGCCAUCUGAAGAAAAAAGAGGAGAUGGGCCCUAUACAUCACUAAAAAUUAAUUCAAGCGGAGCAAAAGUUUUGUGACCCGUAGGUCCUAAAGACAAACGUGAUAAUUUUUCUAAAGGACAACUUUGACAUUGAAAAUUAAGACGUUUGUUGUUACAAAUGAUCUUAUUUUUCGAGAUUAACAAUUGAAAAAUACGUGUAGUAGGAUGACCUAGUCAACGAUGCCAUAAAUCGGCAGAGACGGAAGUGCAGGGAGACCAAUAGGCUUGAGGAAUUGACGUGACGGAAGACUUGGUAAGGGCAUAAAGACCAUCUUUACUCUGACUUGAGAGAAGGAUUUCAUGGGUGUUGAGAUCCUUGACAUAAAACACACGAGGGUGAAAUUCAAAAUAAACAUUAUUAUCAAGACAAAAUUUCUGAACAGAGAGCAGAGGUUUCGUAAUUGCAGGAACAUGAAGAACAUUAGAUAAGGUGAAAGAACGAUGUGGUGUAUAUAUUUUUGUAUGACCGAGAUGAGAUAUAGGGAGGCCCUUACCAUCACCAACAUGCAAAUUAUCAUUACCAAGAUACAGUUCUGAAGCAGUCAAGGUUGCAAGAUCAGGUGUGACGUGUUGAUUGGCACCGGUAUCCGGAAACCAAUCAACAGAACCAGUUGAGGAGAGAUUGCGCUGCACUAGAUUGGCAGUAGGCUGUUGGCCAUAACCUCGCUGCUGGAAUUGAGGGCAAUGGGGAGCUGUAUGGCCAAAAUUUUGACAUAGUUGGCAGCGUGGAUUCUGCCCCCUAUUGCGCUGCCAAGAGCCCUGCCUAUUGUCAACGAAGGAGGAGUUUUGGAAGCUGCGGUGAUCAGGUCUGGAGACAGCAAAUCGGUUGCCUCUGCUGUUGGACUGGUUGGGACGCCAGCCACCGUUGAAGUGGCCCUUGUUGCGGCCAGAAUUGCCAAAAGUCUAACGCUGCGCAAUAAGAGCAGAAGAUGGAAUGCUGGGUGUGGGCAGCAGAGGAGCAUGUAUGGCAGCAGAAGAUUUGUGAAGAAAUUCAUGUGUGAGGAGAUGGCUAUGAAGAUCUGCAUAUGAUAAAGGUUCAGCCUUGGUAAUAAGACUGGUAACUAAGUUUUUAAACUCUCCCCGAAGACCACGAAACACAUAUAAAUUGAAAUCUUCAAGUGAAACUGACCGACCAGCAGCGGCCAAUUCAUCAAAUAAGGCCUUUGUUUUUUGCAUAAAUUGAGUUACUGAUUCAUCACCCUGUCGAAGAUCCUGAAGAGAGCCGUGAAGUUGCAUAAUACGAGAGUUGGAGGUAAAAGCGAAAGCUCACUCAAGAGUGCCCCAAGCUGAACAAGAACUUUGAUAGCCAACAACAAGAUGCAAAACUUCCAUAGAUAGGGAGGAAAGAAGAGCACUUAGAAUGAGUUGGUCCUGUUGUUUCCAAGUUUGAAAAAGCGGAUUUACCUGAAGAGAGAUAUCAUCAUAGGCAAGAACAUGUGUUGAUGGACAUGUGUUAGAGCCAUCAACAAAACCAAAAACUCCUUGGCCUAGGAGAUAAGACAGCAUCUGCAUACGCCAAUAUAAAUAAUUGGUGUUUGUUAAUUUGAGGGAGAUGACUUGAUGAGUGUGAGAAAGGGAGAUAAUGCUCGCGGCAGUAGAGGCAGCAGACGUGGGCUGCAAGAGGAGGUGUUCACCAGCCAUGGCAGAGGAGAAUCCAGGCGGUGACGCAGCAGAGGAAAGCAUAGGAGGCGCUACAAGAAAAAAGGGCUGCACUGCUGGAGAAGAAGAAAGCUGGACUGCUAGUGCUGCAGAAUUUGAAGAUGUAUGUGGCGGCUGUUCCAUUGAAGAAGGGAGGCUGGGAGGCUGUGAGAAAAGUAGGUUUAAUUUAUUUUAGGGUUUUGUGGCUCUGAUACCAAGUUGAGAAUAAUGGAAUGUGUUAUGUUGUGCCUUAGCCAACCUUCCUAUUUAUAUAGAGGCAUCAGAACAUUGCAGUAACUGUAAUGAUUACAACAUCCUAUAUUAAUUUCCUAUUCUGAUAGAUACAUGAGUAACUGUAAUGAUUACAACAUCCUAUAUUAAUUUUCUAUUCUGAUAGAUACAUGAUAUACAUUCUAUAAUAGGUUUCAUAGCAUUCCUUAAGAAUAUAUAUUCUUAAAAAAAGAAAAAAAAUAAUCUAAAGAAAAAAAAACCUAUGUUAUUUUUUUUACCUUUUUGCUAUGAUCCUUCACUUAAACAUAUCAAUGCAAUAUCUUGUUCGUUGACGUACCUUUUGUUUUACUCAAUAUAUAUAUAUAUAUAUAUAUAUAUAUUGAAGAUAACGCUAGGAAAGAGGCGAACAGGAGAACAAAAACUAGUCUACAUAUAUAUAAGAUUCAAAAAGAAAACUAAAGACAAGCAAGACUAAUGACCUAGAAACCAUUAAGAAUAACAAAGAAAUACAGAUUCAAAAUCAAGUUAUAACUCCUUAUAUGUAGAAUUCCAUGCAGAAUAACCAUCUAGGUGGUGACCCAGUGGUAAGAACUUAGGACCAAAAGAUUUGUUCCCUCUGUGGUCUCAGGUUCGAGUCCUGUGGUUGCUCAUAUGAUGGCCACUGGAGGCUUACAUGGUCGUUAACUUCAAGGCCCGUAGGAUUAGUCGAGGUGCGCGCAAGCUGGCCCGGACACCCACAUUAAACUAUAUAAAAAAAAAAUUCCAUGCUGAAAUUUGUUGGUGCAUCAAUCACGCCUUUCCUCCAUAAGAAAUCCUAGAAGUUUUUCUUUUGAAAAAGCAUCAGCCACAUAAAAACCUCCACCAUUGGUGUUGCAAUUCAUGUGAAAUAGAGAUUGAUUAUGAGAUUAUGUCUUAACCGUUAGUGAUGAUUGGUCACGGAGAUACAUUUGUAUAUAGAUAGGCCAUAAAUUCGGGCUCCACUUUCACUCCCGGAUAUAGAGAUGACUCUUUCCCAUAUUGUCUCAUGUAGUUCUCAAAGGCAUCUAGGGUGGCCCACUCAUUCAAGUGUCUGUAACGUAUAUUGUAAAGAUGGAAUACAAACCUUGUGCAAACCCUGACAAUAGGAAAUUGUACUUAUACUUGAAUAUAUAUGUAGAUGUGAUAUGACCUCUUCCCUCUUGUAUAUGCCAUUCGAGGCUAGCUACAUAUCCUCUCCACUCAGUAGGGCAUCUAGACUAGGAACCUUUUCUGUAAACGGGUUUGAAUUUCUAUCACUUGUGACAAAGAUACUCCGAUACAUUUGUACAGAGAUGGGCCAUAACUUCACAAGGAAUACAGAGAGUGGUCACAAUCACUGAUAAAUUUACAGCAGAUACAGUCCAUCAACAUUUUUUUAAAAAGAUGGAAAAAUUUACAGCAUAUUCAUCAAUGAAUUUAUAAAUGGAUACUAUUCGUCAGCAUUACACUGGAAGCUCAAAAAUAUUUAUUGGAUAUGCGAUUGUCAAUGAUAGAAUAAAUCCAUCCAUAUAUUUUCAAUUAAAAUAUUUUUUUACAUCCAUUUUUUAUCUGUAAAACAAUCAGCAAAUGUUUUUUACCGAUAUCACUAGUGAUGGAAUGUGAUAUUACCGAUGAAGAGGAUGCCAACGGACUUUUUCCGUCAAUGAUGUGAUCGGUAUCCAUAUAGUUAUGAUAUAAGUUUAUGCAAUCAAGGUAUUGGUGAGGAUGUUCUGGCCGGUGAUUUGCAUCAUAUAUAAUUAAGUGACCCCCUCCCCAUCAUAUUUUCUAGUGUAAGGUGGAUAAAUUAUCGUUACUCUAAUAUCAUAAAAUAAAAUAAGAGGUUGUAAAUGAUUGUUACUCGUAAGAGAACAAGGUGGAUAAAAAUAUAUUUUUUUUAUUUUUUUUAAAUAAUAAUAAUUUAUAAUGAACUCGUUUAUGUCGUUGAAUUAUAUAUUCAAACGAACAAGACAGUGCUGAUAUAUUUUUGGUUGUUGUGGACCUUCAGCUACUCACUGCUCUCCUAAACGUCAAAGUAAGCUCACCUCAAAAUUUGGAACUUCCUGCCAGGACGUUCCUGGCAACCUGUUAUCGUUUCUAUUCACUAACAACAGCUGGCUAGUUUUGUCAGUCGAGUCACAACCUGUGACGGUGGAAGUUAUUUAACAGCUGGCUAGUAUUGUCGCUAGCUACUACAUGACGUCUAUAAUUUCCAAAGAAUUAAAUUCUAGUCGUAUGUACCCCGACAUGGAUUCCAUUAACAAAUCUAAAACUCACGCUGGUAUUGUUGUGCUUUAAGAAACAGUUUAUUAUUCAUUAUGAUUGAUCCUAUAUUGUUUUUUAGUUAAUUUAUCUUUGGUUUUGUUUCGGGAUAGGGUGAUUUUUUUUCCAUGAAAUAAAUGUCUUUUAAAAUUGAAUAGGAUUAUUUUAGUAAUUGCGUUUUACAACAUACAGUAAAAUAAAUAAUGUAACCUUAAAAUAAAAUAAUUCAAUGCUUUCUAUACAAGGAUAUUUUUGUAUUUUCAUGUUUGAUAGAACAAUGAAAUAUAACAUUACCCAUGCCAUNNNNNNNNNNNNNNNNNNNNNNNNNNNNNNNNNNNNNNNNNNNNNNNNNNNNNNNNNNNNNNNNNNNNNNNNNNNNNNNNNNNNNNNNNNNNNNNNNNNNNNNNNNNNNNNNNNNNNNNNNNNNNNNNNNNNNNNNNNNNNNNNNNNNNNNNNNNNNNNNNNNNNNNNNNNNNNNNNNNNNNNNNNNNNNNNNNNNNNNNNNNNNNNNNNNNNNNNNNNNNNNNNNNNNNNNNNNNNNNNNNNNNNNNNNNNNNNNNNNNNNNNNNNNNNNNNNNNNNNNNNNNNNNNNNNNNNNNNNNNNNNNNNNNNNNNNNNNNNNNNNNNNNNNNNNNNNNNNNNNNNNNNNNNNNNNNNNNNNNNNNNNNNNNNNNNNNNNNNNNNNNNNNNNNNNNNNNNNNNNNNNNNNNNNNNNNNNNNNNNNNNNNNNNNNNNNNNNNNNNNNNNNNNNNNNNNNNNNNNNNNNNNNNNNNNNNNNNNNNNNNNNNNNNNNNNNNNNNNNNNNNNNNNNNNNNNNNNNNNNNNNNNNNNNNNNNNNNNNNNNNNNNNNNNNNNNNNNNNNNNNNNNNNNNNNNNNNNNNNNNNNNNNNNNNNNNNNNNNNNNNNNNNNNNNNNNNNNNNNNNNNNNNNNNNNNNNNNNNNNNNNNNNNNNNNNNNNNNNNNNNNNNNNNNNNNNNNNNNNNNNNNNNNNNNNNNNNNNNNNNNNNNNNNNNNNNNNNNNNNNNNNNNNNNNNNNNNNNNNNNNNNNNNNNNNNNNNNNNNNNNNNNNNNNNNNNNNNNNNNNNNNNNNNNNNNNNNNNNNNNNNNNNNNNNNNNNNNNNNNNNNNNNNNNNNNNNNNNNNNNNNNNNNNNNNNNNNNNNNNNNNNNNNNNNNNNNNNNNNNNNNNNNNNNNNNNNNNNNNNNNNNNNNNNNNNNNNNNNNNNNNNNNNNNNNNNNNNNNNNNNNNNNNNNNNNNNNNNNNNNNNNNNNNNNNNNNNNNNNNNNNNNNNNNNNNNNNNNNNNNNNNNNNNNNNNNNNNNNNNNNNNNNNNNNNNNNNNNNNNNNNNNNNNNNNNNNNNNNNNNNNNNNNNNNNNNNNNNNNNNNNNNNNNNNNNNNNNNNNNNNNNNNNNNNNNNNNNNNNNNNNNNNNNNNNNNNNNNNNNNNNNNNNNNNNNNNNNNNNNNNNNNNNNNNNNNNNNNNNNNNNNNNNNNNNNNNNNNNNNNNNNNNNNNNNNNNNNNNNNNNNNNNNNNNNNNNNNNNNNNNNNNNNNNNNNNNNNNNNNNNNNNNNNNNNNNNNNNNNNNNNNNNNNNNNNNNNNNNNNNNNNNNNNNNNNNNNNNNNNNNNNNNNNNNNNNNNNNNNNNNNNNNNNNNNNNNNNNNNNNNNNNNNNNNNNNNNNNNNNNNNNNNNNNNNNNNNNNNNNNNNNNNNNNNNNNNNNNNNNNNNNNNNNNNNNNNNNNNNNNNNNNNNNNNNNNNNNNNNNNNNNNNNNNNNNNNNNNNNNNNNNNNNNNNNNNNNNNNNNNNNNNNNNNNNNNNNNNNNNNNNNNNNNNNNNNNNNNNNNNNNNNNNNNNNNNNNNNNNNNNNNNNNNNNNNNNNNNNNNNNNNNNNNNNNNNNNNNNNNNNNNNNNNNNNNNNNNNNNNNNNNNNNNNNNNNNNNNNNNNNNNNNNNNNNNNNNNNNNNNNNNNNNNNNNNNNNNNNNNNNNNNNNNNNNNNNNNNNNNNNNNNNNNNNNNNNNNNNNNNNNNNNNNNNNNNNNNNNNNNNNNNNNNNNNNNNNNNNNNNNNNNNNNNNNNNNNNNNNNNNNNNNNNNNNNNNNNNNNNNNNNNNNNNNNNNNNNNNNNNNNNNNNNNNNNNNNNNNNNNNNNNNNNNNNNNNNNNNNNNNNNNNNNNNNNNNNNNNNNNNNNNNNNNNNNNNNNNNNNNNNNNNNNNNNNNNNNNNNNNNNNNNNNNNNNNNNNNNNNNNNNNNNNNNNNNNNNNNNNNNNNNNNNNNNNNNNNNNNNNNNNNNNNNNNNNNNNNNNNNNNNNNNNNNNNNNNNNNNNNNNNNNNNNNNNNNNNNNNNNNNNNNNNNNNNNNNNNNNNNNNNNNNNNNNNNNNNNNNNNNNNNNNNNNNNNNNNNNNNNNNNNNNNNNNNNNNNNNNNNNNNNNNNNNNNNNNNNNNNNNNNNNNNNNNNNNNNNNNNNNNNNNNNNNNNNNNNNNNNNNNNNNNNNNNNNNNNNNNNNNNNNNNNNNNNNNNNNNNNNNNNNNNNNNNNNNNNNNNNNNNNNNNNNNNNNNNNNNNNNNNNNNNNNNNNNNNNNNNNNNNNNNNNNNNNNNNNNNNNNNNNNNNNNNNNNNNNNNNNNNNNNNNNNNNNNNNNNNNNNNNNNNNNNNNNNNNNNNNNNNNNNNNNNNNNNNNNNNNNNNNNNNNNNNNNNNNNNNNNNNNNNNNNNNNNNNNNNNNNNNNNNNNNNNNNNNNNNNNNNNNNNNNNNNNNNNNNNNNNNNNNNNNNNNNNNNNNNNNNNNNNNNNNNNNNNNNNNNNNNNNNNNNNNNNNNNNNNNNNNNNNNNNNNNNNNNNNNNNNNNNNNNNNNNNNNNNNNNNNNNNNNNNNNNNNNNNNNNNNNNNNACUUUUUUACAUUCUACCCCUAGACAUUUAUUUUCAUUUACUUUUUGCGUCAAAUUCGGUCAUGCAUUUUUCUAAUUAUUUUCUUAAUGGGUUGGUUUUUUAGAAUUCCAUCCAUGAAUAUUUAGUUUCAUUUGAUUUUUAUGUGGAAUUAAGUCCUAAUUAUUUUAAUUGCUAUUUUUUUGCAUCAUUGUUUUUUAUUGAUUUUUUUCUCAAUUUCAUGCCUUAAUGUUUGUUUGGUUAAGAACCUGGCUUCUUUGUUUUUUGGGUUUGCCUUUGAUGGGGUCACACUAGUCUCAUGACUCGGUUCAUAGAUCUAAAAGAUUAGCCCAAGUCGACUUUUGUCAACAUUUAAGCAUUUGGCAAUCUGAUAUCUGUAUUACCACAAUACGAUAACAUUCAUGAUAAAGUAUUUCAUAAUUCAACGUUAUGAAAAAAAAAGGUGAAAGUCACCUACCUGCUCCACUUGCAGGUUGUCCUUGUCCUGAUGAUGGUCCUAUCCCGACCGCACCACCUAAGACAUCAAUAGUCACAAAUCAGUAUAUUUGUAUCUUUGAAUCACAUUCAUCACCAUACUUAUUUCAAGAGUUCAUAUGUUCACAUUCAAGUGUUCCAAAAUUUACACCAUCAUACAAUGAAAUUGUUACAAGCAUUUGAGUCAUUUCUGCCCGGGAGGCCUAUUGUAGAAAUCGGCAGCAAAAACUGACUCGCUGCAGGCCGGACAAUUCAGCAGUGAAAACUGGUUCGAUGUGGGCUACACAAUUCGGCAGCGAAAACUGGUUUGCUGCCGCCUGCACAAUUCGGCAGUGAAAUCUGUUUCACUGCUGGCGCCACAAUUUCAGCAGCGAAUGCUACUUUGCUGCAGCCACCACGUUUUCAGCAGCGAAUGCUAAUUCGCUGCAUUUGCUGCAGAAAACUCAAUUCCGACAGCGAGUCAUAAAUUCGCUGCCAACAACACAACUUCGACAACGAAUGUUAAUUCGCUACAAAAACUUAAUUUCAGCAACGAAUUACCAAAUUGUUGCAGACAAUUCAACUUCAGCAACGAAUCUCAAAGUCACUACAAAACAUACAAAUCGGCAGUGAAUGUUAAUUCUUUGCAAACAACUCAGUUUCAGCAGCGAAUUACAAAUUCGCUGCAGACAAUACAAUUUCAAAACACACAAUUCGGCAGACAACUCAAUUUCAGCAGCAAUUACAAAUUUGUUGCAGACCAUGCAACUUCGGCAGGGAAUCAGCGAAUGCUAAUUCACUGCAGACAACUCAGUUUUGACAGCGAAUCAAAAUUUUGCUGCAGACAAUACAACUUCGUCAGUGAAUCGCAAAUUCACUACAGAACACAUAAUUCGGCAGCGAAUGCUAAUUCGUUGUAGAGAACUCAGUUUCGGUAGCGAAUCACAAAUUAGCUGCAGAUAACUCACCUUCGGCAGCGAAUCACAAAUUUGUUGCAAACAACUCAGUUUCGGCAGGCGAAUCAUAGUUUCGGUGCAGACAACAGACCUUUAGCAGCGAAUUGCAAAUUCCUCGUAGAACACACAAUUCAGUAGUAAAUACUAAUUCGCUUCAGAGAACUCAGUUUCGACAUCAAAUCACAAAUUCACUACAGACAACUCAACUUCGGCAGCAAAUCGCAAAUUCACCAUAGAACACACAAUUCGGCAGCGAAUACUAAUUCGUUGUAGAGAACUCAGUUUCUGCAGCAAAUCACAAAUUCAUUGCCAGCUUCGACAGCAGAUCAUAAAUUCGCUGCUGACAACACAACUUCGAUAGCGAAUCACAAAUUCGUUGCAGAACACACAUUUCGACAGCGAAUGCUAAUUCACUGCAGACCAUAACUUUAAUAGUGAAUCGCAACAUCGUCGUAGAACACACAAUUCGGUAGCGAAUCAUAAAUUCGCUGCAGACAACUCAACUUCGGUAACGAAUCAGAAAUUCGCUGCAGACAACUCAACUUCGGGAGCGAAUCACAAAUUUGCUACAGACAACUUAGUUUCGACAACGAAUCACAAUUUUGCUGCCGACAAUACAACUUCGGCAGCGAAUCACAAAUUCACUGCAGAACAGACAAUUCGGCAGCGAAUGCUAAUUCGCUGCAGACAACUCAGUUUCGGCAGCGAAUCACAAUUUCGCUACAGGCAAUACAAUUUCGGGAGCGAAUCAUAAAUUCGCUACAAAACACACAAUUCAGCAGCGAAUCAUAAAUUCACUUCAGAACACACAAUUUGUCAUUAGGUUCCAACAAGCUCACAUGAUUUCAGCAUGAACACACACAUACUCAUGCAAUAAUCAAUCCCAGCACAUAAACUGUCACUAAAUUCCAGUAGAAUACACACAUGCAAUAAUCAAUUCCAACACAAAAUCUUUCAUCAAAUUCUAGCAGAACACACAUAUGCAUGGUGUCCAACCCCAUAGCUAAGGCCAACCCUUUUCCAUGAUUUGUUCUUUCCAUUCUAUUCAUUUUUCUUUGUUAGAUGUUCUGGAAAUUGGCCUCAUUUUGUUUCAGUUUCCUUGUCCUCUUAGUUAAUUUCAGUUUCCUUCACAACUAGCUUAGGUCUUAGGUCAAUUUUCUUAGGGUCUUCUUCUUCAUUCCCAAUGGUGUUUACAUAUGACUGUUGGAUGUGAGUCAAGCCCAAUAAAGCUUUUUGUGGAGACCCACGUGCGGAGUGAAGAUCGCCAAAAGGGGAUGCAACAAUUCAUCGACAACCGCACUCAACAUUUUGUUGUAUGUUAGUUCAACCAUUUUCUUUCGUAAGUUAUUAUUUUCUUGAAUUCAAUUUGAUGCUUUUAGUUUUUAUUUUCAGGAGACAUAAAAUAGCCGGUUGAGAGAGAGAUAUGGGGACGAUCCUUCGACCCACCCGGAUUUUGAUUCGGAUUUGGUGAUGGAGACAGGAUCGUCGGUGGACCGAUAGAAAUCGGGUGUAUAGACUCUCCAACACUAUGAUCGAGAACUAGUGGAUGACCCGUAGUGUCUCAACCAUUGGGAGCUCGCAAUCAGUAUCAAGUACCAAGUCUUAGGAGUUCGUGGCCUUGCAACAACAUACGACUCAUCUCACCGAAAAAUAUGAGCAACUCUCAGCGGAUUAUGAAUAACUGUGCCAAAAUGGUCAUAGACAUGAGAUCACAGAUGGGUGGUACAUUUGUACCCCCUUUUUGGCCGCAUGGUCCCGUGAACGACCAGCCUUUUCUUCCUCCUCCUCGAACAUUAUCAUUGUCAUUGUUCUAGUUUAAUUUUUAUUUGAACAUAUAAAUUUGUAAUGAAUAUUUGGAUUUAAUUUUUAUAUGAACAACACACAAUUUUUUUAAAACAAAGUUUUCAAAAGAAUUUUUUUUAAAAUUUUUUUUAUAAUUAUUACAGAACGAUAUACCAUCGAACAUAAUUUGUCGGUAUAUUCUAGAGGCAAGGGGAACAAUUUACUUCAUAUGCCACUACAACACUGUUACAUCAUCAACGAAAUUAUUUCGUCAGUAUUUUACAGAGGGUUGGAAUAAAAUUACAAUAAAUGCCGAAAUAAUUCUAUUGGUGUAUUAAAAUGGGUAAUUUUUUUUUGCUGGCAUAUUCUGUCUGUAAAAACAUAGAGUUUUUUUUACCGAUAGAAAUGACAUUACCGACGAAUGAUUGUCAUUCGUAAAUCUGUCGGUCAAAAUGUUGCCGACAGAAUGUUAGUGUAAAUACCGACAAAACAUUUCAUCGGUAAAACUAUUAAAUCUACUAAAUGCUUUCAAUAUAUGAGUUUUACAUGGUUUAAAUGCUUUAAAUUCAAAUUGAAGAAUCUACUAAAUAGAGUGAUUGAUUUUACAUGUCUUAUAUUUUCGAGUUUGAGUUGAUGUAUUUUUGUUCCACUAGUUUAGAUGGCUUUUGAGCUACAUUUCCAAAUGUUUUCCACCAUGAUCCUAAGCCCCAUUACAAACCUUGAAAAGUCUUUGUGAUUCAAGUUUUGCAUGUGAUCCUAGUGGUUGAGAAUAAGAAGAUAUACAAGCCUGUGGUAGAGCAUUUCUGUUGGAAUGAAUUUGAGUGAAACACAUACCUUUCAAACACAUGAAAGUCGAGUGUUUAUUUCUAUGAGGGUCUACGUAUUUAGCUUAUUCUAUAUUUAAAUGAAAAUGCUUGUUAAUAAUUAUAAGUUGUCUAAGAAUUUUUAUUCAUGAUAUGUUAUUCUUUUUGAAGAGAUUGAUUGUUUUUUGUUGAUGACAUUGCAACCUUUAUUUUGUUUUUCAUGGAAAGUGAAUUUCAGUUUUGCUCGAGGACGAGCAAAAGUUAAAUGUCAUAUUUCUAUUAAUGUUUAGUAUUUUAUACUUAUUUGAUGCCUAAAUAUACUCAUUAUUUUUAUAUUUUGAUUUAGAAUGUAAAUGGAGACGUUAAUGGCGAAACAAUUUAAUUGGGUGAUUCUGGACAGUUUUGACACAACUUUGUAAUUGGGGUAUAACUCUCUCAUCCAAGCUCCGAUUGAGGUGAUCCAAAAUGCUAUGGAACCAUAAGGAAUAUAUCUACAACUUUCAUGUUUUGCAUUUGGAGAGAUACUAACUACAUCGUGUUCGCAAUUGGGAAUAAAGACGUUGCACCUAUACUGUGCCAACAUGCUGGAAUGUCCUUAAGCAUGCAAAUCUAAUAUGAUGUGAUUUAUUUUCGGAAACUUCCAAACUUGAUGCAUGAAUUAUAGAUGAUGACAUCACUUUUCUUGUUAUAUUAUAACUUUAUUUUAUUAUUUAAUAAUUUUAUCGGAUAUUCAGAUUUGGUGGUUAUUAUUAGAGAGUAUUUUAGAAGAUUUUGUCUCCCUUCUCUCUUUUUUCUUCCUCUUUCCCAAUUUCUUUCUCAAUUUAUUUCUCUUCUUUAUGAUACUCAUGAUGGUACUGUGGAACUAAUUUUGCUUUGAGUAUUGGAUGUUCUUUUAUGCCUAUUUUUCAUGAUUUUCUUGUUUAAUUACAAUGAGACCUCUAGUUUAUUAUUCAUUGCAAUCUACUGAUGGGUUAGAUAUUAAAUAUGGAAUUGUUUGAUCUCUCUAAUCUAUGAAGCAAUUGAGAUUUAAUUAUUUGUUGUGUUAGAAAUUAGUAAAUUUUAGGAAGAUUUUUUGACUAAAUUAAAUGUAACUGCCUGUGCUUCUAUUGGUUAGCUUCAUCAAUCUCUUUAAUUUUUAAGGUUAGUACUAAAUUUAAUUUUAGCGCUUGUCUUAAGUUGUUUAGUAGUUAGGAAAAUAGUUCUAAUUUGAAUAUUUAAAAUAUGAAUUAAUAUAUAUAUGCAUCAAUUAUUAGUUGUAAAAGACUUGAUAGUUGAUGUUGACUUAGACCGAGGGUUCUUUUUGUGAUUAAUUUUGAUAAUUUUUAUUGAGUUGUCUCUUAGUUAGUUUUCUUUCUAUUUCUUUUUUAUUGUACUAGAACCCCUCAUCUGUAUAGGCCAUCAAUUAACGAGAAAAGGACAAUCGAUGACUUGACCGUGGCAGUAUAUAGGCCAACAAAUGCAGAGGCCUAUUGAACUUAUUAAAACAACAUAUCCUGUUUUAAGAGGCGCCAAUCUUUUGGGCUUCCCCUUGUAUUUUCAUGCACUAACCUUUAAGCCUUCCAUGCGAACAAUCAUACAUUUACUCAACCAAUAAAAUGACAAGACAACCUAAAAAGAAAGGAAUUGUUUACAUGAAUAGAUGAAUAAAUUCUUUAUGUUGUUCCAUCACAAAGACUUAAGGGGUAAUUAAUAAGUCUAGAAUUCACACUUAAAACACCCGGACCAAGUCAUAGUGUAUGAGGUAAGGCCAAAACCCAAAGCCUAAAUGAUCAUGGAUUGUACUAGGAGGUCUAGAGCCCGAGUGCACAUUUUACAUUUUCUAAGCCUAGAUAGACCAUAUGACCCAAUGCUCUCCUAAACUUGGGAUAGGUUGCUUAAUUUCCGAUGAUCCUAAUUGAUCAAACUGGCCUACAAUNNNNNNNNNNNNNNNNNNNNNNNNNNNNNNNNNNNNNNNNNNNNNNNNNNNNNNNNNNNNNNNNNNNNNNNNNNNNNNNNNNNNNNNNNNNNNNNNNNNNNNNNNNNNNNNNNNNNNNNNNNNNNNNNNNNNNNNNNNNNNNNNNNNNNNNNNNNNNNNNNNNNNNNNNNNNNNNNNNNNNNNNNNNNNNNNNNNNNNNNNNNNNNNNNNNNNNNNNNNNNNNNNNNNNNNNNNNNNNNNNNNNNNNNNNNNNNNNNNNNNNNNNNNNNNNNNNNNNNNNNNNNNNNNNNNNNNNNNNNNNNNNNNNNNNNNNNNNNNNNNNNNNNNNNNNNNNNNNNNNNNNNNNNNNNNNNNNNNNNNNNNNNNNNNNNNNNNNNNNNNNNNNNNNNNNNNNNNNNNNNNNNNNNNNNNNNNNNNNNNNNNNNNNNNNNNNNNNNNNNNNNNCACAAAGUUUAGCAAAAGGUUGGUUUCGGAUCUGUUGGGCGAAGGAGGUUCGGAAGGUCCUUCAGACGAAUAUCUUUCAUUCCAGGGAAUCCAGUCUAUUUUUGUCUCCAAAAUAUCCAUUUGUCAAAUCGCUUUCUUCUGCAUCAUUUAUAUCAAAGAUAAAAACACGUUACAUGAACAAUUUACUUCGAAAAGAUUCAUGAUAGUAUGAAAUUAGUAAUAAAUGUAUCGAGUACGUACCUUUGAGUGGUGUGUAACCUCUUUCAACAAGAUGUUUGUAAUGCGCGUAGGCCAAUGUGCCACAUGCACUUGAAGUCCAGAAAGUGAUGACUGGGAUUUGAAGUUCCUCCUUAAGAUCGAGAGCGAAGGACAUGCCACUGUCUGCUACUAUGCAAGUUACAGGCGGGACAACAUUUGAUGAAUUGAGUUUGGCAAGAAGUUGGCGAAAUGGGUCUAAGCAAGCCUUUGAGGUAGAGUCACAGAGAAAUGAAGUGUCUUGGGUAACAUCAGCAUCAAGCUGAUCACCUAGACCAUCUGGAAUGGUUUCAAACUGGAAAUCAGGCAAGACAACAAGAGAGUUACGGCCUCUGGACUUGAGCAAACGUCUGUGAUUGUAUUCAGAGUUGACAAAGGUGAUGUGAAAGCCUUUGUGAUGGAGUAGUUUUGCUACUUUGAGCAUAGGAGUUAUGUGACCUUGAGCUGGAUAUGGGACGCACACAGCAUGAGCCUUGGUGCUCUUUGGAAGAGAUCCCAUGUUUCUCACUCUCUGAGUUUUUGUAUUUCACACCUUCUAUGAGUUAGAAGACUGAAUUUAUUGCUCACCAGUUAUAUAAGGAAUUGUGAUUACUUCUUAUAUGGUCCAAAAUCAAGACGCAUGAGUUUUUAUUUUUUAUUUUUUUUUAUCAAUACACUUUAGUUAUAAAACUGAUUAAUUAGUUUGCAAUUACGUGGCAGUGAAUUAUUUAUCAUAUAAGUUUAUUCAAUCAAGGUAUUGGUGAGGAUGUCAUGGCCGGUGAUUGGCAUCAUAUAUCAAUUAUUAACAAUAAGUGCCUUUUUUUCUUCUUCCACAUUUUCAGGUGGAUAUACCGUAGUGAUUAAACCCAGCCCAGGGAUUGACCUGGCCAAGAAGCCGGGUUUUUUGGUUUUAUAAGGCAACUCGGUCAACUCGGGUCAACCCGGAAAAAUUUUUAAAAUAUAUUUAAAAUUUUAAUAUUUCAUAUGAAAAAAUCCAUGUAAAUAUAGGCUAUACUUGUUGUAAAUAAUGAAGUUUAAAAAAAUAUUUUAAAAAAAAUUUAUCCCAUAUUAGAAAGAUACUUAAACCAAAAAAUUUGUUUAUCUCAUAUUGAAAAAAUAUAACUUUUUUCUAGUAUUUAUAUAGUGAACUUUGAAAAGGAUUAAUAACCAACUAAAUAAUAUUAAAAAAAAUUCUAGAAAAAAAUAACAUUUAAAAAAAAAAGAUCUCAUCCAAGUUCAUCCAGGUCACUAGAGAGGCAAAUAUAACAAAUUCUUCUAUUUUACUCGUAUUAAUUUAUAAAUACGAAGGUGAAAUAAUCAACAUUAACCUUUCUCCAAUAGUAAUUCAUUUAAGUUUGUUGGCAUAACGAGACCCGGGGCAAGAUAGAAAAUUCACCAAUGCAUAGUCAACAUGUAUAUAACAACCAUUUCAAAAUCAAAAUCCUAAUUUAUCAAGCAGCAACACUUCAAAGAAAGUUAAAGCUUCUAUCUCGGCGGCGCAUGACAACUCUUCAACAGCAAGAAGAAGACUCUGAAGAUGACUUACCCCCAUCAAGAUCCUUCUACCAGACAACCAAAAUGGAAUCUCUAAACUACAACAUGAUACACUAGCACAUGAAGUAUAGCAACAUAAAAUCCAUUCGAUCAAGUCAACGGUGAUAAUCAAACAACUCCCAUUACAAGGUCUCUCCUUUCACAAGGUCUCUCCUUCCAGCUCUGGCCAGCAGUUGCAACUCCCUUCACUCUCCUUGAGAACCACAACACCAGCCCUUUAUCAUCGAUUCUUGAUACAAUAUCCAACGGGUCUUGUUCGGGUUUGCCUGGGUUGCCCGGGUCUUGGGUUGACCCGCUAGGUCGACCGGGUUUUGCCGGGUUAUUGCCCUGACUGGUCUUUUAUUAAACCCGGACCGGUCCAGUCGCCGAGUCAAUUGGGUCUCGGGUCAACCCGCUGGGCCGGUUUAAUAACUAUGGGAUAUACUAGAAGAACACUCGAAAUCAAUUAAUAUAAUAAAAUGAAAUAAGAGCUUGUAAAUUAUUGUUACUCUUAAGAGAAUAAGGUGGAUAAAUUUGUAGCACCUUCAUGAAUGAGAGUUUGGAAUUUGGGUACAUGAUCGUGGUAGCCCUGAAUGAGAGUAAAUUAUAAGACAGUGCUGAUACCUUUUGGGUUGUCGUGCCCCUUAGCCACUCACGAGCUCCUAAACAACAAAGUAAGCUCACCUCAUAAUUUGGGUAACAAAUUAUAUGGUUAGACAAAUACUAUGGUCUCUAUCACUAACUUCAGUGUUUAUUAUUUUAACACGCAGAAACCUAUUAUUCAAUCCUCGUAUUGUCGCUAGCUACUUGUAGCACUAGCCGCCCUUCAUGACCUCUAUAAUUUGAAAAGAAUCCGCAAUAAAAUUAUAGUCUUAUGGACCCAGACAUGGAUUGCAUGUUCAGACUAGAAGCAAAAUUUCAAGAAGUUCUUGAUAAUAUAUAUAUUCAAGAAUUAAAUGAAUAAAAUCAUUUUCAAUAAGUCAAAAUGAUAUCCCACAUCAGUUUUAUUCAAAAAUUUCCCUUGAGCGAGGUUAGGGAAAACAUGUUAGACCAACUCAAUGUUGUUUCGGACUGUGUGGACUGUAACGUUUGACUAUUGCUGUUAUUAUGAUUAUCCUACGACUUGAGAAACAUGUUAGACCAACUCAAUUUUAUUUUCCCUUGUAUACAAACCUUGAAAUCCUUGGCACACACUUCAACCCAAUUCUGAGAUAUUGAGAUAGAUAACACGUAAUUUACAGAAUCAAAACCGAUUAGCACCCAUCACUACUCUGGAAACAUGCCAGUGCAGCAUUCGCAUAACAAUCUUGCCAGACCAUUGUGAAACUUAUCAAACACGUAAUUUACCGAUCACUAUUCUGGAAACAUCCAAUAAUGAUGAGUUUCACAGCGAACCAUAUUAUUUGCCAAACUCAAUGUAUCACUUGGAUCACCAUCAAUCUUGAACCCCACUAAUUGCUAAUAGAGAAAGAAACUCGUAGAAGCAAUAUAUAUAUAUAUAUAUAUAUAUAUAUAUAUAUAUAUAUAUAUAUAUAUAUAUAUAUAUUGUAACCAAUCAAAAUUUGCCAUGUUUCAUUUUUAUUUAUUUUUUUUACAUAAAAAAUGAAAUAAAUUACAUGGAGAAUAAAUUGGUCUUUAUAUGUGUCUUGACUCAUUGAAGGUUUAUACAUGAGAUGAGAUAUUUAAGAUGUUUUUUCAUAAAUAUAAGAUUUUAUAAAUAAAAAUCAACCAAUAAAAUAAUGUCAUAUGACAUUGACAAAAGAUCGGGGUACCCCUAUAAAUCUCCAUAAAUAUAUAGAGGGUCUCACACUAGACAAAAAAAAAAUGAUUAUUGGAGAUACAAGUUCUUCAAGUAAGAAAGUUCUCUUAAAAGCUCUUAAAUAUCCUUCAUCUACAUCUCAAGUCUACAAAGAACGAAACUCUGUUGGAUUAAGUCUAAACACUUUGAAAUCAAAUCAAAGGUACUCUUCGGAGCACCAAAUCUUGUUUCACAAUUCACAUCUAAAUUCAUGUUCUUGCAAAUCACAAAUCUUGGCUUGAUUUCACAAAUAAAUAAGUCACCAUAUAUUAAGUUCAAGAGAAGAAUCAGAGGAUUGUUAUAUUAAAUAGAGAUUGUACGUAGUCAUAUGUUUUAAUAAAAUCAAAUAUUUAUACACAUGUUUUUGCUUAAUUUUCAGGUACUCAAAAUUAUAUCUAUAAAUUUCUGGCGACUCCUCUAGGGGUAUCUCUACAUCUUAUCUAUUCCAUUCAAGAAAGAAUUUCCAACAACCUCUUAAUGGUAACUAUAGAAAACAUUAUCACUGUGUUGUUGUUUCUAAAAGCAACAAAAUCAUGCAAACUAAGUUGAUUCUUGAGACGAUGUCAGCGUUGAAUACAUGAGGUGCACAAGAAUUCACUUGUUCAAUGAUAAAAAAUACAAGUAACUCCACCAUAAAAAUCAAAUGUGGGGUGUGAAUUUCUUAGGCACUUAAGGUUAUUAAUUCAGAAAUUCACUCGUGGGGACUUCUCUUUAUCACUCACCAAGUAACUUCAGGUUUUGGCACAUGUUAGUGAUGAUAACCGGGACUAUAUCUUUGGAGUAUCAAGUGGCUAGCUUGACAAAACUUGUUGAAGGUUUUUCGACUUCACUCAAGGAAAAAGACCACAACAUAGGAAAGUUGAUGAACAAACUUUAGAGCAUGAAUGAGGGUGGCUAAACUUCGACUAGCAAGGUUAUGUAAAAAGAUCAAUUGGAAUUGAUAACAUGUGUCUCACUUUAUGGAGACUUGCAACAAUGUUAGAAUUGAUGGUGAUCUCAUGGUAAAAUAAUUUAUCUAUUUCUUAAAAGGCAAUACCUUCGACUAGUACACUGACUUGGAGUCUAGCUCAAUCAAUAGUUAGGAGUACUAAAAUGUGAGUUUCUUAAUCAUUUCAACAACACUCAUCGUGUGGUCAGCAUGAUUGAACUCUCUAAUACAUAUCAAUGAGAAGAGGAGCAUGAUUGAACUCUUUAAAGCUAAAAUGAAUGAUCACACAACACCAUUUGCUUUUCAUAAGGGUAAAAGGAAGAAACCAUCCUUGAAAAAAGUGACAAGAAAAAGAGUAACCAUUCCUUAACUCGAACAUAUCUAGGAUGCUAGAUGUUUUUCUUGAAGAAAAUAUUAUUAAGCUACUGGAGCUUAAACAUCCUGAAGAAGCAAACCAAAUAGAGAACCUAAUUUAUUGCAAAUACCACCGCCUAAUUAACCAUCAUAUAAAUAAGUGUUUUGUGUUAAAAGACAAGAUCACGAGGCUAUAUAAGAAUGGAGACAACAUUUUUAUGAUAAAAUAACAGCUUCCAACAUCACGACUAUGGUGAGUUUAGGUUCACAACAAUUGCUAUUUGUGAUAAGUUUUGGCUUCUUCAAAGGUUAUGUCAUAAAAAAGAUAAUGAAUUGUAUUUUGAUGAAUGAUGGUUCAAUUGUCAAUAUACUACCUAUUAAAAACUUAAAAGAGCUUGGGAUUCCUAUGUAUGAACUCUUUCCAAUUCAUCUAAUGAUUUAAAGCUUUAAUUUAGAAGGCAAAACACCAUGAGAAAGAUAAGACUUGUGAUACACAUGGAAGAUAUGAAGUUCAAUGCUUUUUUUCACGUUGUAGAGACUAAAACUACCUAUAACAUGCUACUUGGAUGACUGUGGAUACAUGAAAAUGGCGUCAUGAAAAGAAGAGGAAAAAAUGAACUCUAGGAGCUUAAAAAGGCCUAAAUCAUCUAUAAAUGAAAAAAAUGAUUUGUCCAAUAAAAAAUAAAAAAAAGGGGAAAGGUAGUAGAAAACUUAGUUGAUAAUAAGGUAUCACAUAAGGCUAUAGUACUACACUAUAUCCCAGUAUUAACAAGAAAAAAGGGUCAAAAUUCUUUCACUAAGGAUGAAGAGGAGAUCACCAAGGGGCUCAAAAACUUAACCUUGCUAGUUAUAAAUUUUGCAUUGACCAAAGUUUGAAAACCUAUAUUGAAAGGGUUUGUUCAUCAAGCUAAGUCAAUGGUUGCAAAUCUCAAAUGACUCCCCAAUAAAUGGGAAAACAAGUUUAUAAAAAGAAUGAAGGAGUUUGGAGAGAGAAGAAAAUUCCUGGCAAAACUUCAAGGGCUAGGAUAUGAAUCUUUUAUGCCAUUUUAUUUUAAUAUUAAGAAUGAGAGACUAUGAUACAUAAGUGUGGAAAAAUUGAAGGAUAAAUAACAAAGUCAGCAUACACAUCUUAGAUCCUUGGUUUAGGAUUGUCUUUGCAUGACUAUGACUCGUGCUUUAGUAUUUGAUAGGACUGGAACCAAAAAAAGUAGAAGGAUACUAAAACAAACUUCAAUCCUUGGAAGACUUAGACCAUCCAAGUCAAAAGACGAUAAGAAUAUACACAACGAUCAACCAAUUUUGGUUAAGGGCUUAAAGGAUCUUCAUAGUAAAAUAACUUCACUCAUAAAGUUAGAAUGUGAAUGGGUUCUAAGUGUUGAGAUGGCAUUAAGAAUAAAGAAGUGCAUGAUAGUGAUCACAAGUCCCUUUAAAGAAAAGAAAAGGAAGAAGGAAAUAAUGCCUCUGACUUCAAAUCAUAUCACUAUUGAAGAGGAUGAUAAUGAUAAGUUUCUUAUUAAAGAAGAUAUUGAGGAGGCUCUGCCUAUUUUUGAAUAAGAAAAUAAAUCUAUGGUUGAUGGACAUAAAAAGGUUAACUUAAGCACCAUUGAAAACCAUAGCCCAACCUUCAUAAAUGCAAACUUAUCACCUAAAGAGGAAAUGAGUUGCAUAAAACUUAUAAUGAAGUACAAAGAUAUCUUUACUUCGUCCUAUAAUGAAAUGCUAGGUUUAAACUUGAAGGUCGCUAUUCAUUAAUUAUCAGUAAGAAAUAGGAUCAGACUUGUAAAACAAGCUUGACAUCACUUUCAUCCUAAAGUUGUCUCAUAAAUUGAGGCAAAAGUCAACAAACUUAUCCAAGAAGGUUUUAUUCGUGAGGUCAAGUAUUGUACAUGUAUUUCAAAUAUCAUGUUGGUAAAAAAAGAAUGGCCAAAUCCAUGUUUGAGUGGAUUUUUGAGACCUUCAACAAUGAUUGUUCCAAUUAUGACUUCCCACUUCCAGUCACUGAGAUUAUAGUUAAUGCUACCACAGGCCAUGAGAGUUUAACCUUCAUGCAUGAUUCAUCUAGUUAUAAUCAAAUUCAAAUUUCACCCGAAGAUGAGGAAAAAAUAGUCUUUCAGUCUAAAAAAAAAUAUUACUAUAAGGUCAUGUCUUUUGGCUUGAAGAAUAUAGCUUCUCUUUACCAAAGGGAAAUGUAAAAGACUUUUGAUGAUAUGCUUCACUAAUAUGUUGAAUGUUAUGUUGAUAACCUUAUGGUGAAGUUAAAGGAAAAAGAAAGUCAUUACAAGAUCUCCAUCCGAUGUUCAAAUAAUAUCGAUUCCAACUAAUACCCACUAAAGUGUGUAUUUGGUGUGACCUUAGACAAAUUCAUAGGAUUCAUAGCUUGAUAUCAAGGAAUUAAGACUAAUCAGUGUAAUAUCGAUGGCAUCCUAGAGAUGUUAGAGCCAAGAAACAUCCACGAGCUGAACAGUCUCCAAGGAAAGUUGGCUUGUAUAUCAAGAUUCAUUUAUAACUUAGCUGGUUAAUCUCAACCAUUCACUCACUUGAUAAAGAAGGAUACGAUGUUUUGUUGGGAUGAAGCUUGCACUAAUGCCUUCGUCAAGAUCAAAAAGUACUUGUUAAUUCACCUCUCCUAUAAGCACCAACAUCAGAACGUUUAUUUAUCUAAUAUAUUGCGACUUAAAUGUGUUCUUUGGGAGUGUUGUUAGCAUAAAAAAAUGAUGAAGGUUAGGAGAGCGCUCUCUACUACCUUAGUAAGACUAUAAAUAGAGUUGAACUAAAUUAUUCUCUAAUAUAGAAGACAUGUCUAGCGUUAAAGUUUACGAUAAAAAAAUUAAGGAAAUUAUAGCCAAGCACAUUCAAUAUGACUAAUUUCUUGAGUCGACCUUUUCAAAUACAUUAUUUUAAGGCAAAUACGAUCAGGGAGAUUGACAAAAUGGUCAUUAUUGCUUUAAGAAUUGAAAUUUUCUAUCUAUUACAAUUAAAAUGCUAUUAGGGGGAAAACAUUAAUCGAUUCUCUUCUCGAUUAUCCUACUCCUGAUGAAUGAAAGUUUUCUAAAGACCUACUUGAUAUGGAUUUCUUGUUCAUUGAAAUGUCAAAACCUUGGAAAAUAUUCUUUAAUGGUGCAGCAUGACAAAAUAGAGUUUGUGCUGAAGUAAUUUUCACCACACUUUAAGGAGAGGUUUUGCCACUCACCUUCUUUCUUAUUGAAUGUUGUUCCAACAAAAUGGUCGGAUAUCAAGCCUUGAUUCUUGGGUUGAAAAAUGAGAAAUUAUGAGGAAUAAAUUAAUAAUACCGGGAUGAAAAAUCCCAAUAAAUUUAUUUAGAUCAUGGAUGGAGUAGAGAAAUAAAUUGGUAUGCGAAACAAUAUCCGAAUUAUAAAUCGUGUAAGUUUCCUAAUCAGGUAAGAUAGUUAUUUAAAAGAAAUUUUUUUAUGAAUUGUGAUUAAAAUAGUUAGAAAACAAUAAAAAAAUAUAAUGAAACUCUGAACAAACUAAUAUAUGAUUUUACGCGUGAAUAUCGUACAAUCGCAUAGUUUUUAACCGAAAAGAGAGGGAAUUUAGGGGGAGAAUUUUUAUUAUGAAUAGGGUUGUAAGUCACCAAUGAAUUAUUUUGAAGAUCUUGACAAUUUUAAUAAAUAAAAUAAUACCUAAAUUUGGGUUUUUAGUGUAAAAUUACCUACUGAUCAAAUUUACAAUAUCAAGCAUAACUCUCAAUCUGACCAUUUGAUCAAGUUGAAAUUUUAUGAGGAGUCUCCUAACAUAUGAGCUAUUAGUGACUUUUUUUAUAAUAUUGAGAAAACAUCCCCUCCUAUUUUUCUUUAAAAAGGGUUUGUUGUUCCAACAAUAAGGUAGGGAAAAAUUUUAAUUUUACUCCAUCAUCUUCUUCUACUUCAUUUUUGUUUUCUUAAAUUAUUGAUAAAGACUUGAUUUUGGACUAAAUUUAAGGAAGGUUUACGAGGAAAACUAUACAUCAACUUGUUUAGGAGAUGGGAAAACCAAGAGAUGAUGUUUUAGAGAUAGAAAGUAAGGAAUUUGAAAAGGGGAGAAGGGAAGGAGAAGGAAGUUGCAAGAAAUCUCUCACCUUUUCUUCCAAGCUAGUUGGUAAAUUGUUAUAGCAACUUAAAUUCAUUUUAUUAUGAGUUGCCAUGCUUAGGGGAAGAAAUCCUUAAUUUACCAAAUCUAGAGUUCUAAGAGAAGUUUAGGGAAAAUGGGUUUUUUAAUGGUAAAUGCUUAAAUGGAUAUGGAUUAGUUGCUAGAAUGAAUAGAAUAACGAUGUGGAUUGAAAGAAAAAUCAUGGGUAACUAUAAACCCUAGAGCCAACUAUGAAGGGAAUUUAGGGGAAAUGAUGAAUUGAGUUAAAUUGUAAGAAAUUAUGUUAUAUUUUAAUGUGUAUGUGUGAUACAUAUAUGAUGUAGGAUAAGUAUUUGGUUUGAGAAUAUAAGCAUGCUAUAGGAUUGUGUAGGGAACUUAUAUUAAAUACAUGAAAUUUCAAUGGAUAUCAGCUAUUGUAUUUAAUAGUGGCAACUAGUAGGCGGACGCGUGUAUAUGCAAACAACUACAAUAGCUGAUAUCCACCUAUAAAUUUAUAAAUGAUUGUAGCGUCAUAGAGUAAUGUGUGAAGUUUAAAUAAAUUGUAAUAGUGAACUUGAUAAUGAUACAUAUUCGACCCUUGUGAUGGGGACUAUGGACUUAGUUGGCCACGGACUACAUACUUUGUUGGGCAAUGGUGGCAACUAAGAGAUUAUUGAUUACAUAGUCGACCCUUGUAAUGAGGAUUACAGAAUUAGUUGGUCAGGGAUAACAACUAAGGGAUUAUUGAUUACAUAAUCAACCCUUGUGAUGAGGACUAUGCCCUUGUGAUGAGGACUAUGGAUUUAGUUAGCCGGGAACGGAAAGUAAGAGAUUAUUGAUUAUUUAGUUGACGUUGUGGAUGGUGACUCAAGUUAUGGAAACAACUAGCUAUGUGACCCGCGGGGAUUUUUUUUUAUAAUAUCUUAGCUUUUAUUUUGAAAAAAAAAUUCAAGAGGAAAAAAAAUAAAAAUCUUAAUUUGAAGUAAAGAAAAAAAUAAUUUUUUUUAUUUUUAAAAACAUUUUUGAAAGGUAAAAACAAACAUGCUUUAAUAAGGAAAUUCAACUCAAUCUCAAAUGGAAAGAAAAUAUCACCACCCAAUUUUUGUACAAUAUAAAAUAAUUUUUCAUCUAUUUAUGUGCUCUUUACUGUAUGAAAAAGAAAAAAAAUUAAAGUCUUGGGUCCUCCUAGGGGCAGGACCCAACUCUAAUGGGUCUAGCAAGACCCAACGCGAUUGAGUCCUAGUGUAAGCAGGACCCAACACUAUUAGGUCCUGCUGCAACAACCUAGAAACACUUUAGACCCUAGGCGCGCGGUUCUGCAGACUUGCUCGCCUGGGUCUACAGCCAAGCGCGCGUGUCUGGCCCUAGCACCCAAGGCAUGGCAGCCCAGCGCUAGGUGUCUGCAGCCUAGGCAUAACCCCACCCCAUACAGCCUUUAGAGUGUGUUUGGUAUUGCGGCAACUGUUGUGGUUGUGGUUUGAAAAAAGUUAUUUUAUAAAAAGUACUUUUAGUUGAGGUUGGUUUGAAAAAAUAGGUGUUUGGUUAAAACUGUGGUUGAAAUUGAGGUUGAAGAAAAAGUAGUUUAAUGUGUUUGGUUAAGAAUGCUUUUGAAAUUGAGGUUAUAAAAUAAUUUUAAAAAAUAUAUAUUAAUAUUGAUGGUUUUUAAUUUAAAUAUUAGAGAUUUAACUAUUACUAUUAUAUCAUGAGUUCCAUUAAAUUUUUUAAGAACGCAACAACAUAGGUAAAAUAUAAUCAAAAAUAAAAUUGGGAAUGCGAUCAAAUUCUGCAAAUAUUACAUCAUCAAGCGAGCUCCGUCUAAUUUAUGUAGUGUCAUAGAAUAAUGUUUAACACUAUUUUUUUUGAAUAAAACACAAUUAAAAAUAAAAAAUAUUUUUUUUAUUUUGUUAGAUCGGACCCGGUUCAAUGUAUUUUUAGCGUUGAACCGAACCGGUCUGGCCGGAACAGUGGAGCAUGCUCCACUGUCCAUGGAAAAAACCCAUGAACAGUAGAGCAUGCUCCAUUGUUUAGAGAAGAAAACCAUGAACAAUGGAGCAUGCUCCACUGUUCAUUAAAGGAAACCCAUGAACAGUGGAGCCAGCUCCAAUGUUCAUGAGUUUUCCAGCUCAAGAAGCAGCAAAUUGCUGCUUCUUGCAAACUUGUGGCCGUGCCACAAUUAACGGUAGGCCCCACCAGUAGAAAUCUUUUGUGGGAGCAUUACCAAACGGGUGAGUUGCUGUGGUUGCUUCAAACGCAGAAGCAACCACGCAACCAAACACCCUCUUAGAACUCUGUGUGGUAGGACAUGACAGCCUAACGCGAGGUGUCAGUAGCCCAACCAAAAUUUACACUGACCGUUUUCUCCUAAACCAUUCCUUUAAUGCCGAAUACAUCCCAAUAAAAAGACAACUCCACCCUCCCCUUACAGUCUUUGCACCUCUUUGAUACAAGGGCUGCUAUGUCAUUAUACUACUCCAAUCCACAUUGCAAUGAAUCUUGAUGAACAUGACUUUUGCUAAUACUGUUCCAAUUCACAGUACAAUGAGUCUUGAUGAACAUGACUUUUGCUAAUACUGUUCCAAUUCACAGUACAAUGAGUCUUGAUGAACAUGAUUUUUGUCACAUGAUUUAGCUUUAUGUAUAAUACUUAGUCAGCCGCCAUGCAAAUAGAACUAAAGUUAUGAGUAUGAUUCUUAGUUGACUAUAUGUGUUGUUAUCCAUUUUUGGAUCCCCACACAAAAAGAGAGAAAAUAAUAAAAAUAAAUAAAUAAAUAAAUAAUAAAAAGGGAUUGUCUUGUAAAUUGCGCUAAAAUCAAAGGAUCCAAUUAAAGUUUAUAUAGGGGGCUUGAUUACAAAACUUUCAAAACUUCAAGGACCAAAACACAAAUAGCCAUUUGAAUUGUGAAAAUGGAGCCGUUUAAAAAAGAACAACCAUUUGUCGCCAUCGAUUUUCCUUUCUCCAGCACCAGAAGUUGUUCCAGAAGUAAAAAAUGUUGGAGUCGUUUCAGCAGUAAAGGCACUAAAACUGUUUCAAUCAUGGAGCACGUCUCAUGGCUACUAUCCCUCGCCCCCAUGAUGCAUGUUGUUACCAAGCCUGUCGUUACCACCAUAUGGCAUUCUCUAGCCUUAUAAAAGCCAGAGAAAGGCCACGAACGGGGGAGGAGAAGGAAAACACAGAGAACAGGAGAGAGAAGAGGAGAACAGGGGAGAAGAACGAAAAAACAAGGGGGAGACAGAUUACAGAAACACAAAGAGAAAGAUAGAAACCAAAAAAAGAAGAGAGAUCUUCUGGGCUUCCUUCCAAAACCUCAACAAAGGAUAUUCGUUGUCUUUUAGGCAACAGAUUUGCUUCAACCAAACCAUCAACGAAGGAGAAUAUCAAGAGGAACAAACAAAGGAGAGAACACAAAAACAUAGAGGAAGUAGAGAGAUACGAAUGAAAGAAGAGAAAAACAGAGGAACGAAAAAAAAACGAACACAAGGAACGAACAACACAAGGGUCUUGAGCCAAGGGCAGACGAGGACACAAGAAGAAGACCAGACGAACGCAGACAGAGGAAGACUACUAGCAGACCAGGUAAGCCAUUUCUCUUCUCUCCCCGUUUUGCAUUUUGUGUAGUGUUGGCACUCGCACUAUGUAGUGCAUGCGUGAGUAAUUCACGCAUGCAACCUGCAACAAUGCCCAGCCGGGUCACUGGCUUGGGCCAGUGACCCGGCUGGGCCUUCUAGGUCAAGCCCAACUACAUGGGUCGUGUUGGACCCAACAAAAAAAAAGGAGUGAGAUUGGUGGUUUUCUCGUGUAUUUAUUUUAUGAUUUGUAUUUUUAUAUUGUAAAAAUACAAAUCUGGUAUUAAAAUACCCGGUUUUCUACGAAAUGUUGCAAAAAUAUAUAUAUCUGGAAAAAAAUGCUUUGUUUUCAUGCAUACGGCCAAGUCUUUUAAAGAUAAAAAAACAAUCACAUCGUAGUUUCAUACAACAUAGAUAAUUUCAAAAAAUAUGUCUUAACAUGUUUUUUCAGCUUUCAGCUUGAAUAACAAGUUUACUAAAGUCACGAAAACUAGGCUAAUAUUUCAAAACUAGGCUAAUAUCUAGAAUCAUGUACUUAUACGUAAGACGUGUUUCUAAUAGUAAAUAAAAAGGUUGUUAACAAGACAAUUGCAAAACCUUUAAACCGCAUCAAGCCGCAAAGCAGCUUACCUCAGGUAGGGUGCGUUAGGGGUGCUAAUACCUUUCCUAGCCAUAACCAGUUCCUUACCCGUGAAUCUCUGACAAGAUAAGUACACCCGAGUUUCCUAGUGACCCUGAACCAAAUACUAUGUGGCGACUCCCAAGAACCAACAAACAAAAGAAAAUCACCAUCGACGUCGUGCGAGGACGUGUGACAGAAUGGCGACUCCACUAGGGAAGGUACUGUUUCUGACAAUAUUGAGCUAAGCUUUGUGUAUUUGAUGUGUUUAAGUUUUUGCAUUUUGUCUUAUUUUGUUAAUGUUUUUUUUCCAUGAAUUGUAUAGAAUUGUCUCAUGCAUCACAUGUCUUUAUUUUUGAAAGCACACACUAGCUUCUAAGUUAUGAGGGGAAUUAGCGAUCUGCCCUAUGACUAUUGGUUAAGGUUCAGAUGCGUGAAACACUCAACUCAUAUCUAAGUGCCUGCUUGGUAAUGGUGGGUAUACGUGUCUUAACCAUAUCUCGUAACGCCCCUAUACUGUCUUUACGAAGAUCGUCACUAGGUAGAUAUGAGACCCUUUUGAGACCAGGUAGAAAACCUAUCCAUGUGCAUAUAAUGAAUAGAAUCUGUCCUUAGGUUGUAUAUGCUAUCUUUAUUUACAUCAGGGCAAACCCUUCUUGAAGCAUCUUAAACUCAAGACUUGUGGGUGACACAAUGGCUGUCACUCAUAAAAUUUUCAUUGUAGAGUUUGGGCAAGAAUCAAGAUUCUUAUUUCAUCAUACAAGAGUUACGACCAUAUAUCACCCCUCGAAGGAAGAGUUUAUCAUAUAUAUUACAUGCUCAUACAUCCAUCAUGCAUGCAUGCACCAGGUUAAAAGGUGGGUUCCCCAUAUAAGCUCUGCUACACCUAAUUAAAAAAAAGAUGGAAAAUAAAGAAAGAGGCUCAUUGUCAAAGAGAAAUUGAGAGCAGUAAAGGUAAAGUAACUAGACUUAUAAAUCUGUUUGAACAAAUGCUGAACUUCAAGAAUAGAAAGGGAACGUCUACCAACCUCUUGUGGAAAAUACUAUUACUCCAUGUCCCCCACAAGGAAAACAUAAUUGACUUUUCUCCUCAGCACUCCACCAGUAGAGGCCAUAAACAUUUAACUAGCAUCGCCUCUCUUUCAUUUCAGUCAUGAACAACAACAAUGCCUUCAGUCAUCAACACAUGACAACCGCUGUUUUUGUUGAACUGCAUUGUUAAUUGUUCACUGCCUCUACAUCUCCUUCCAGUAGCAUCCAAUAGUUGCCAGCCUUGCGCGUCAUGAGCCAACAAAAACAUAUAUUGAACUUUAACACAUCAGAGCUCUAUCUACAGAGAUCUGUUUGUGGCUCUGCUAGUGGGGAAUCCAAGAAGGGGUGUAAUAGUUUCAAAUUAGCUAUAAUUUCCCCCCCACUAGUGUCAGCAUUAAAACAUAGAAGUAGGGAGUAAAGACAGACCGUGACUGAAAAACAGGAAGAAGACUGAAACUUCAAUAGAAUAGAAAUCCCUUUACGGGUGUCUGUUUGUUGCACUGUCAGUGAGGAAUCAAAGAUAAAAUAGAGAAGAUCAUAUUCAUAAAUUCUCCCCUAGUAGAGACAAUGUGUGAUUUCACACGUCGGCAGUGACAAUGCUACAUGUCUUCGGGCGUUGCCAAGAUUACCUAGAUGUUGGAAGGUUUCCAACAAUCAUCAGAUAACAACCACAACAUUGGAAGAUUGACAUGAUGUUGUGAGGAUUGCCGAAAAAAUUAAACAAGCUAUGAAGAGGGGAAAGAUUAAAGGUUCUGCAAUGGAUUCCAGAACAAUGAUGAGAGAUGAAUCAGAAGAUAACUUUGAAGGUGGAAAACCUUAUUUAUAUGGUCUAGCCAGGUCUCACUAUAACAUCAACUGCUCAAAUGUCUUUGCCAAGAUUGACAUACCUCGGCCACUCGAGUUUGUCUACCAACAUCUGUCAGACCCUGGAUUUAUUGCCCUGACUCCAUCAAAUCCCAUACAUCCAUCAUUUUCUAAGUGGUAUAAUCCAUAAAAGAGAUAUGAAUGUCAUGGUGGGAUCUUGGGCAAUUCAUUUGAAUAGUUACAAGAGUUUUAAAAAUUGAGUCUGGAGGAAGGUGAGCAAGAGGCGAGUUGAGUUUGUGAAAGAUGAUGUCAUUGGCUAUAUUGUCACCACAACAUCCUCAGAAUGAAAAGUAAUAGAAUUGCUUGGCAAAACACAGAUAUUGCUAGAAAAGCUGAUCCAAGAAUGACAAUGAAUUAUCAAUCAUAUUGUUAUGGAAUUUUUCCAUUUUGCAUUUUAUUUUGGAAUCACAUCUCAUAUUUGAAUGAAACAUGUCUUUUCUUUGUCUAUUUGUUGUUCGAAAUCAAGAGAUGUUUAGCAUUUUACUUUGACAAAAUACUUUGAUCAAACUCCAACAUGCGAUUAAGGCUAAUCAAUCUUGAAAGAUUAAAAUUGUUUUGAUUACAGAAAUGACUCAAUGUUUGUUAAAAUAACAUGAUAAACAAUAUGGGGUAACCAAACAAAUUUUGAGCUCACACAUGAAACUAAACCACCCACCAUGUAGCUAAGUUUAGCAGUAUGCUUAAUGACAUGUAGUGGAUUUGGUAGCUAUGGACUCGUGAAUUAGUGACUCUUACAAGUCCCAACCAUUAUACUAGACGAGGUCAAAAUUUAUUGGUUCUAACCGACCUUGCUUGAAAUGAGAAAAGGCCAUUCUUGUUUUAUCCUUUCACAAUACUUGAAAUAUAUCCCUUGUAAUCCUAUUUUGAGCUUGAUAGAAUAUUUUUUUUCCAAAGAAACCUUGACAAGAAUCACACCCCACACUGGGGGUAAAUAAGAGAUUUUUGUUAGAAAAGAAAGAAGACAAAAGUGGAAUCAAUGGUAAAAGGAAGGCUAAGAACAAAAAUCCAACGUUUGAGAGAGAGCUAAAAGAAAGAAGAUAUAGACUAGGGGCAUAUUAGAAAACUUUGAGGAAGGCUAUGUGAAAGCCAUAAAAAAAAAACGUGGAAAUUGCCUACACUUAAAGAUAAGUCAAUGAUAAAGGAAGGAGAAUGUCUUUCAAGUCUAGAAAAGGCAAAAGAAGUUUCAAUCAAGGAAAGACAUAACAAAUGUCAAAAGUCAAUACCAAAAAAAUACUAAGCUACAAAGUACAAACAUGACUUUUAAUAUCCAUGAUAAAGCCUCUGAUGUUAUCAGAUGAUUGAGAUUAAUUAUUCAUCAAGGAAAGUUAGAUAUACAUUAUGGCCUAUGUUAAGAAAUUCUGAUAAUUGAGGUUAACAUGGUUAUAUGUCAUUUCCUCUAUACAGACAACAAGAGAAAGAGAGUUGAUGAAUAGUUGAUGUUGAUUCGAGGUAUUUGAAACCCUCAAACACCUUGUGAGCCUGUAAAAUUCCCUUUCUCUCAUAGUUAUGAACCAUAGCCUGCAUUACAUGCUUUUAAAAGCCCUUUUUGAUCAAGUAAGCAAUCUGAACCGAUAAAUGGUGCUCUCAAAACUUGAAAAGCUUUUCCAUAAGAGUCAUGGCUUCAUGAAUUAAGUUAUUGGUUAUUAUGCAUGCUAAUAAAAUAAGUGCUAAAAAAGAAACAACCUUUCUUGAUAAAGCCUGAUUUUUCACUUGAGCAUCUUGUUUUGGAAAUUCACAAAAAGGUCACCUCAUCAUAGACCAUCAAAAGACAUACCCAAAGUCAAAUUUUAAAAUGGAUAAAAAGAACCAUAGAAAAAGCUAUUUUAAUCUUACAAUGGGUCAAUUUUUAUUUUUAAAAUAUCAGAUAAUCAAAGGACUACAUUGAAUGGCGUGUGUUGGAUCUUUGACCAAAGAAGCUUGAUUUUAAAAAUACGUUCAAAAAUUGACAUCUCUCUAUUCAUUUCAAUAAUUAGAUUUGAAUGAUAUGAUCUUUGAAAUAUAAGAUUUGAUUCCAGAAUAAGAAAAACUGUCAAACAAGAAGAACAUCGACCGAGUUUGCAAAUUCCUGGACAGAAAUGACAUUUACUCUUGAUCAUCCUUGAAAAGUUGACCAGCUAGGGGCAAAACCGUGGACCGUGAAAAGGAAAACAAACAAUAUUCAGAUCAACUAAGAGGGCAGAGAUGAUCAAAUGAUGAAUCAUUGAAUUGAGGACAAUGUUGUUCAAAGAAAGAUAAUUAGAAGAAUGAGCACAUUCAAAUUAAUUGAGGGCGAUGUUGUUCAAAGACAAUCCAUAAUCUAGCAGACUCCAUAAACAAUUGAGAGCAAUACUGCACUUAAAGGACAUCUUCAUAUCUUCAUCUUGGGUUACCCUCUGAAACAUGGCUAUGACUCUUGACAGAUGUUAUCGCGUGAGUGCUUUUGAAUGAAUGUCGAAAAGAUGCACACCACCAAGACUGAUUGUUGGACCAUCUGUUUUGAAACUCAAAGACGCACUUCACCGUAUGAAUAUGAGUGAUAAAAGGAACAUCAUUGAUGAUGCCAAUGCAUUUCUUUUUAUAAUCUGAUUUGACAAGCUUAGAAGAAUCCAUGAGAAGAACACUGAGCAUACAAUAAAGAGCCUUUUACCGCAAGUUAUGAGAUGCAUGACGGUUUCAUGAUAACAUAUACUUGAAGAGUAUUAUUUCAAUGGAGGCAAGUUAGUGGCUGAUUGGCAAUCUAGGAUGAGGUCGACAAUAGAAAACCUUUUGAUGGGUGUUGGCACGAUACACGCAAUCAGUGAAAGAACAAUUCCCAGGAGAAUCCAGGAGAUGAAUGACUUGUUAAGCUUUUUCUUGACGAAUCAAGCAACACCACACUUGGAAGCAUUGUCAAGCUUGAUAAACAUUGAAAUCAGUAAUCAUCACGGAUAGCUCAAGAUGGACACUGCACUUACAUCUGAGUAAAAGGCUAGCACACAAAUGAGCCAACAAAUUAGAAGGACAGAGAAGGCCUUGGAAUGCAAACAAAGGCACCCUAUGAUGAUGAAGCAUCAAAGAUGGGGGACCUAUAUUUCAAAACAAGGUAUGAAUGCAUGCAUGUCAUCUAACCACAAAGCAUUGCACAUAUAUUUUGACUUGUUACAGAAAACAAAUCCUCAAUGAAAUCCAGCAAGAUUAUGGACAAAGAAAGAAUCAUUGAGUUGAUGAUAGAAAAGAAUCAUAGUUUUGACCAUGAAACGAGAAGAAGAUGAGAUAAACCCUACCAUUAGAAAAAUCGCAAAGAUCAACUUUGUCAUCAAGAAGAGUCUUUUGGUCAACCCUGCAAUCAGGAAGCACCAAAUUUUCAAACCCUGCGAUCGGGAAUUAUCAGGUCAAUCCUACAAUCAGGAAGCACUAAGUUCUUCAACCUUGUCAUCAAGGAAAAUUUAGUCAUCAGUAAGGACAGAUGUCAACUCUGCAAUUAGAAAGGAUUGAUGUCAGUCUUGCAAAAUCACAAAAGUAAAAAACAAAUCAUCAAGUGAAAAAUUGAUCAUCCUUAUCAUCAAGAAGAAAAAUUUGAAGAACCCUACCAUUAAGAAAUUAUUAAAACAAAAGAAGAAAGUUCAAACCCUACCAUUAGGAAGAACACACAAACAUUGUUUCUGGUUAAAGGGGAUCGCCAGAAGAGAUCUCAUAUUAGCCCAACCACACAUAGGAUUUUGGUUCUGGUUAAAGGGGAUCGCUAGAUAGGAUCUCAGGUUAGCCCAACCACACAGAGGAUUUUUAUUUUGGUUAAAAGGGAUUGUCAUAAGGGAUCUCAGGUUAGCCCAACUACACAUAGGAUUUUGGUUCUGGUUAAAGGAGAUCACCAGAUGGGAUCUCAGGUUAGCCCAACCACACACAGACUUUGGUUCUAGUUAAAGGGGAUCGCCAGAUGGGAUCUCAGGUUAGCCCAACCACAUGCAGGAUUUUGGUUCUAGUUAAAGGGGAUCGCUAGAUAAGAUCUCAGGUUAGCCCAACCACACAUAGACUUUGGUUCUGGUUAAAGGGGAUCUCCAGAUGGGAUCUCAGGUUAACCCAACCACACAUAGACUUUGGUUCUAGUUAAAAGGGAUCUCCAGAUGGGAUCUCAAGUUAGCCUAACCACACACAGGAUAUUGGUUCUAGUUAAAGGGGAUCACCAGAAGGGAUCUCAGGUUAGCCCAACCACACACAGACUUUGAUUCUGGUUAAAGGGGAUCUCCAGAUGGGAUCUCAGGUUAGCCUAACCACACACAGACUUUGGUUCUAGUUAAAGGAGGUUGCCAGAUAGGAUCUCAGGUUAGCCCAACCACAAAGAGGAUAUUGGUUAUGGUUAAAGGAGAUCGCUAGAAGGGAUCUCAAGUUAGCCCAACCACACACAGACUUUGGUUCUGGUUAAAGGAGAUCGCUAGAAGGGAUCUCAGGUUAGCCCUACCACACACAUGAUUUUAGUUAUGGUUAAAGGGGAUCGCUAGAAGGGAUCUUAGGUUAGCCCAAUCAUACCUUUACUAUUGGUUCUGGUAAAAGGAGAUCGCCAUAAGGGAUCUCAGGUUAGCCCAACCAUACUUUUACUAUUGGUUCUGGUUAAAGGGGAUCACCAAAAGGGAUCUCAGGUUAGCCCAAUCACACAUAGGAUUUUGAUUAUGGUUAAAGGGGAUCGCCAAAAAAGAUCUCAAGUCAGCCCAACCACUAAUAUUAUCCUAGCAUUGGAAGAAAAAUAAGAACCCUACCAUUAGAAAAUUCUCAAAAAAUAAAAAAAAGGGUUCAAAGCCGGCCAUCAAGAAGAACAUUGUUAGUAAUUUCUGGUUGAAGGGAUCACUAUAAAGAUAAAAUUUCAUAUGAAACCAAGUGUGUUUGUCCAUUAUGUCCUCGACAUAAACCAAGAAAUGCCUAAAACUACAUGUAUUUUGGUACUAAUAAACUUGUUUAAUGCACUUCUCUAGCUAUUUUCCCCAACUUUUGCAUAAAUGAUGAUUAUUACUUUCUUACUUUUUCCUUUAAAAAAAAUUUAAUUCAAACAUAAAAUAUUUUAAUUAUGUAAUAUAAUUAAAACAUAUUGAUGUUUUGUCGUUCGUAACUUGUUCAUGUAACUAUUCAUAACACUAUUUUAUUGUUGCUUUGUUUUCUUUAUGUCCAUGAUAUUUUUUUACAUCAAUCAUUGGACUUUAUUUCCUUUCAUUUUCAUCAUUUUAAGUUAUGUUAUUAUAGUUUUAUAUGUUAAGAUGUAUUUUGAUUUGCAUGCUUUAAUUUAUCCGAUAUGUCAUAAAAUAUAUCGAUGGUAAAUUAAAGAUUGAUUUUAUAAAAUAAAAUUUUAGGUUAUUGUUAAAAAGAAUUGAAAAAUCAAGAACCAAAAUUAACAUAAAUAAACCAUUUUUUUUACAUUGUUCAAAAGGUUUUUAAAAAAAAUGUAUUUGGUCCCUUAACUUUUGAUUUUUGCAUUAAUUGGUUCCUUUUCUUUUAAGAUUUUAUAUUGGUUCAUGGAAGCGUUUGGCUAAUAAUGUUUUAUCUAUAAAAAGAUCGAGUUUGAUUUCAAUGGGUUAGUUAAGGGGAGUUUAUUGGAGACGAUUAUAUUUAUGUAAAAUAAAAAAAAUUAAGACACAUGAAUUUUAUUUUGACUCGGUUUGAUUUAUGAUUUUUAAACUAAUUAAAGUAUUAAUUAGUUUAGGAAAUUUCUUUAUAUAGGAUUCUAGGACUUUUUGAGGUGCUUUUUAAAUUUUUAAAAAAAUGAAAUUUGAGUUUUUGAAGUACUAAAAUUUAGACCCUGACUUCUCAAUUGUGAGAGAAGAUUAAAAUUUAAAUUAAAGUAUAUGUAUCGCUAUCUAGGUGGAUAACUUAUUGUGGAGCGACAUGUUGGGAGAGGAUAAUAAUAAUAAAAAAAAAAAAAAUAUAGAUGCAUGGCUAGGAUUUUCUUUGUAGGAUUUAAGCUUGCGUGGCCUUUUUUUCAACUGCUAAUAAUAUUCCCAGAAAAGAGGGCACUCACCUUCUUCUUCUUUUUAUCUAUAAGAAGGGGCACGUCUUUCUCUCCUUCCUCAACAUCCAAUCUUCUUGUGUGUGAUCAGAGAGAUGGUGUCCAUAGACCUGGCAAAUAAACCCCAUGCCGUGUGUAUCCCUUUUCCAGCCCAGGGUCACAUAAACCCAAUGCUAAAACUAGCAAAACUACUCCACUUCAAAGGUUUUCACAUAACCUUUGUUAAUACAGAGUAUAACCACAGACGCUUACUCAAGUCUAGAGGCAGCAGCUCUCUUGAUGGCUUGCCAGAAUUCCAGUUUAAGACCAUUCCUGAUGGUCUUCCACCAUCAGAUAUUGCUGAUGCCACUCAAGACAUCCCAUCUCUUUGUGACUGCACCUCCACGACUUGCUUAGCCCCAUUUCGUGAUCUUAUUGCCAAACUCAACUCCUCCAGUAUUGUGCCCCAGGUGACAUGUAUUAUCUCUGAUGCUUGCAUGAGCUUCACUCUUGACGCAGCUGAAGAAUUCGGAAUUCCUGAAGCGCUGUUUUGGACACCUAGCGCCUGUGGUGUUUUGGGCUACGCACAAUAUCGUUCUCUUAUCGAAAGAGGCUUGACACCUCUGAAAGGUACACAGCUUUUUAAAACGGAAAAUUCAAAAUGUGGGUGCAUGAAUUUAUGAUCAAGUUUUCCUUUUCUUUUUAGUUCUUUAGAAGUUACAAUUUUACCAAGACUCAGAAGGUCAGAGCCUGCAUAAUUUACCAAGAAUGAAAAUUAAUCUUCAUUUGUAAUUUUUUUUUUGCAGACGCGACCGAUCUAACAAAUGGGUACUUGGAAACAUCCAUAGAUUGGAUUCCAGGAAUGAAAAAUAUCCGUUUGAGGGAUCUUCCAAGUUUUGUCAGAACUACAGACAUAAACGACUUCAUGCUUCACUUCCAGAUAAGAGAAAUAGACAGAACCUCAAGAGCUUCUGCUGUCAUUAUUAACACCUUUGACUCCUUCGAACAAGAUGUUUUGGAUGCUUUAUCCCCAAUGUUUCCUCCAAUUUACACACUUGGUCCUCUCCAGUUGCUUGUUGAUCAGAUUCCAAAUGGUAAUCUGAAAAAUAUUGGCUCCAAUCUUUGGAAAGAUCAUCCAGAGUGCAUUGAAUGGCUUGAUUCCAAAGGACCAAACUCUGUGGUGUAUGUAAAUUUUGGUAGCAUCACUGUAAUAACUGCACAGCAAAUGAUUGAAUUUGCUUGGGGACUAGCCAACAGCAACAAACCUUUCUUAUGGAUAAUAAGGCCUGAUCUUAUUGUAGGUGAAGCCUCGAUGUUGCCACCUGAAUUUUUAUCUGUAACAAAGGAUAGAAGUUUGCUAGUAAGCUGGUGUCCUCAAGAACAAGUCCUGAAGCAUCCUUCCAUAGGAGGGUUUGUAAGUCACAUGGGGUGGAACUCGACAUUGGAAAGUAUCUGUGGCGGUGUCCCAAUGGUUUGUUGGCCAUUUUUCGGUGAGCAACAGACCAACUGUUGGUUUGCUUGUACUAAGUGGGGUAUCGGAAUGGAGAUAGAAAACAACGUGAAAAGAGAUGAAGUGGAAAAACUUGUGAGGGAGUUAAUGGAGGGAGAGAAGGGAAAAGAUAUGAAAAGGAAGGCAAUGGAAUGGAAAACCAAGGCAGAAGAGGCAGCUUGGACCGGUGAUGCUUCUCAUCGGAAUCUGGAUCGAUUGGUAAAAGUUCUUGCAAGCGAGCAAAUACGUUAGAAGCCUGAAUGGCAAAUAACUUCAAGCAUGGAGUAACCUACUGUAUUAUUUUUGGCACAGAAAUAUAAUCUUAAAAAAAAUAUCUUGUUAUAAUAAAUUCAUCUAUUAUUUGCUACAUUUUCUUAAUUUAAUUUUGCUUCUAUUACAUUCAACAUAAUUUUGGCUAAGAUCUUAGCAAGAAAACUUGUUCUUGCCAUUUAUUCUUCAUAUUAUUUUAUUUUUUUUGUUUUAUGAUUGCUAUUUAUUUUGUUUUUUAUCUUCUUUUUAUUAUUUCUUUCUUCAAUCUCAUUCCUCAUUAUGAAUUUUUUUUUAAUCACUAAUUAUAUUUUAUUUUAAAUUUCAUCCCUUAAUAUUUCAUUUCAAUUUAUUUUUAUGUUUCAAAAUCAAAACAAAUAUAUAAGAUCCAAAAAGAAAACUAAAGACAACCAACUAAAAAAUAGAGAUAGAUUACGAGAAAUCCUAGAAGUUUUUCUUUUGAAAAAGCAUCAGCCACAUAAAAACCUCCACCAUUGGUGUUGCAAUUCAUGUGAAAUAGAGAUUGAUUAUGAGAUUAUGUCUUAACCGUUAGUGAUGAUUGGUCACGGGGAUACAUUUGUAUAUAGAUAGGCCAUAAAUUCGGGCUCCACUUUCACUCCCGGAUAUAGAGAUGACUCUUUCCCAUAUUGUCUCAUGUAGUUCUCAAAGGCAUCUAGGGUGGCCCACUCAUUCAAGUGUCUGUAAUGUAUAUUGUAAAGAUGGAAUACAAACCUUGUGCAAACCCUGACAAUAGGAAAUUAUACUUAUAUUUUUUUUUUUUAGUUUAAUGUAGGUGUUCGGGCCAGCUUGCGUGCACCUCGACUAAUCCCACGGGCCCUGAAGUUAACGACCAUGUAAGCCUCCAGUGGCCAUCAUAUAAGCAACCACAAGGUUCGAAUCUGAGACCAUAGAAAGAGCAAAUCUCUUAGUUCCAAGUUCUUAUCACUGGGCCACCACCUAGAUGGUUGAAAUUGUACUUAUACUUGAAUAUAUAUGUAGAUUUGAUAUGACCAUUCGAGGCUAGCUACAUAUCCUCUCCACUCAGUAGGGCAUCUAGACUAGGAACCUUUUCUGUAAACGGGUUUGAAUUUCUAUCACUUGUGACAAAGAUACUCCGAUACAUUUGUACAGAGAUGGGCCAUAAAUUCACAACGAAUACAGAGAGUGGUCACAAUCACUGAUAAAUUUACACACAGAUACAGUCCAUCAGCAUUUUUUAAAAAGAGAUGGAAAUAUCAUAAUCAAUGAAUUUACAAAUGGAUAGUAUUCGUCAGCAUUUGACUGGAAGCUGAAAAAUAUUUAUUGGAUAUGCCACUAUUAAUGACAGUAUAAAUCCAUUAAUAUAUUUUUAAUUAGAAUUUUUUUUAUGUAUAUUUUUCAUUUGCAAAUGUUUUUUAUCGAUAUCAUUAGUAAUGGAAUGUGAUAUUACUGAUCAAGAGGAUGUCGACGGACUCAGUGAUGUGAUCGGUAUCCAUAUGGUUAUCAUAUAAGUUUAUGCAAUCAAGGUAUUGGUGAGGAUGUCCUGGCCGGUGAUUUGCAUCAUAUAUAAUUAAGUGACCCCCUCCCCACCAUAUUUUCCGGUGUAAGGUGGAUAAAUUAUUGUUACUCUAAUAUAAUAAAAUAAAAUAAAAUAAGAGCUUGUAAAUUAUUGUUACUCGUAAGGGAAUAAGGUGGAUAAAAAUAUUUUUUUAUUUUUUAAAAUAAUAAUAAUUUAUAAUGAACUCGUUUAUGUCGUUGAAUUAUAUAUUCAAACGUACAAGACACUGCUGAUAUCUUUUUGGUUGUUGUGGACCUUCAGCUACUCACUGCUCUCCUAAACGUCAAAGUAAGCUCACCUCAAAAUUUGGAACUUCCUGCCAGGACGUUCCUGGUAACCUGUUAUCGUUUCUAUUCACUAACAACAGCUGGCUAGUUUUGUCAGUCGAGUCACAACCUGUGAAGGUGGAAGUUAUUUAACAGCUGGCUAGUUUUGUCGCUAGCUACUACAUGACGUCUAUAAUUUCCAAAGAAUUAAAUUCUAGUCGAAUGUACCCUGACAUGGAUUCCAUUAACAAAUCUAAAACUCACGCUGGUAUUGUUGGGCUUCAAGAAACAGUUUAUUAUUCAUUAUGAUUGAUCCUAUAUUGUUUUUUAGUUAAUUUAUCUUUGGUUUUGUUUCGGGAUAGGGUGAUUUUUUUUCCAUGAAAUAAAUGUCUUUUAAAAUUGAAUAGGAUUAUUUUAGUAAUUACAUUUUAAAACAUACAGUAAAAUAAAUAAUGUAACCUUAGAAUAAAAUAAUUCAAUGCUUUCUAUACAAGGAUAUUUUUGUAUUUUCAUGUUUGAUAGAACAAUGAAAUUAUAACAUUACCCGUGCCAUUUCAAUUUUUUAGCUAUGAAUUUAGGGGCUUGAUUGUAAUUUCCUCAUGGUUUAUUUGUUAUUGUUGAUUAGUCUUAGAGGCGUUUUUGGUUUUGUACAAAAAAAACAAAAAAGUUAGCGUGUCAACGCUCCGUCAACUUUGGGUGGCACGUGCGACUAACUCUGGUGAUUGUAAUAGCACUUCCGCCACGUCAUUUGAUUCGUCUCAGCGUCCUUUUCCUCCUUGGAUUGUGCACAUAUUUGGUGGUUCAACAAGGUUUGACUAGAAUUGGUUUUUUUUUUCCUUUUUUUCUUUCUAAAAUCAUGUGUUGGCCAUGCGAAAAGUCAUAUCAGCCUAUCAAUUUAUUUUUCUUUGGAUUUAGUCCUUCUUCUUUUAUUUGCAAUUUUUUGUAUUUACAUUGAUUAUUUCUAAUUGGAUUGUAUAUUUGAUUUCAUCACUGGUCAUUUGAUUUUCGAAUUUUUUUUUCAAAUUUGGUACCCAUUAUGAAUUGCUAUUUGUUUUAUUUUGAAUCAUUUUCUUGAUUGAUGUUUUUUUUACAAUUCUACCCCUAGACAUUUAUUUUCAUUUACUUUUUGCAUCAAAUUCGGUCAUGCUUUUUUCUAAUUAUUUUCUUAAUGGGUUGGUUUUUUAGAAUUCCAUCCAUGAAUAUUUAGUUUCAUUUGAUUUUUAUGUGGAAUUAAGUCCUAAUUAUUUUAAUUGCUAUUUUUUUGCAUCAUUGUUUUUUAUUGAUUUUUUUCUCAAUUUCAUGCCUUAAUGUUUGUUUGGUUAAGAACCUGGCUUCUUUGUUUUUUGGGUUUGCCUUUGAUGGGGUCACACUAGUCUCAUGACUCGGUUCAUAGAUCUAAAAGAUUAGCCCAAGUCGACUUUUGUCAACAUUUAAGCAUUUGGCAAUCUGAUAUCUGUAUUACCACAAUACGAUAACAUUCAUGAUAAAGUAUUUCAUAAUUCAACGUUAUGAAAAAGAAAGGUGAAAGUCACCUACCUGCUCCACUUGCAGGUUGUCCUUGUCCUGAUGAUGGUCCUAUCCCGACCGCACCACCUAAGACAUCAAUAGUCACAAAUCAGUAUAUUUGUAUCUUUGAAUCACAUUCAUCACCAUACUUAUUUCAAGAGUUCAUAUGUUCACAUUCAAGUGUUCCAAAAUUUACACCAUCAUACAAUGAAAUUGUUACAAGCAUUUGAGUCAUUUCUGCCCGGGAGGCCUAUUGUAGAAAUCGGCAGCAAAAACUGACUCGCUGCAGGCCGGACAAUUCAGCAGUGAAAACUGGUUCGAUGUGGGCUACACAAUUCGGCAGCGAAAACUGGUUUGCUGCCGCCUGCACAAUUCGGCAGUGAAAUCUGUUUCACUGCUGGCGCCACAAUUUCAGCAGCGAAUGCUACUUUGCUGCAGCCACCACGUUUUCAGCAGCGAAUGCUAAUUCGCUGCAUUUGCUGCAGAAAACUCAAUUCCGACAGCGAGUCAUAAAUUCGCUGCCAACAACACAACUUCGACAACGAAUGUUAAUUCGCUACAAAAACUUAAUUUCAGCAACGAAUUACCAAAUCGUUGCAGACAAUUCAACUUCGGCAACGAAUCUCAAAGUCACUACAAAACAUACAAAUCGGCAGUGAAUGUUAAUUCUUUGCAAACAACUCAGUUUCAGCAGCGAAUUACAAAUUCGCUGCAGACAAUACAAUUUCAAAACACACAAUUCGGCAGACAACUCAAUUUCAGCAGCAAUUACAAAUUUGUUGCAGACCAUGCAACUUCGGCAGGGAAUCAGCGAAUGCUAAUUCACUGCAGACAACUCAGUUUUGACAGCGAAUCAAAAUUUUGCUGCAGACAAUACAACUUCGUCAGUGAAUCGCAAAUUCACUACAGAACACAUAAUUCGGCAGCGAAUGCUAAUUCGCUGUAGAGAACUCAGUUUCGGUAGCGAAUCACAAAUUCGCUGCAGAUAACUCACCUUCGGCAGCGAAUCACAAAUUUGUUGCAAACAACUCAGUUUCGGCAGGCGAAUCAUAGUUUCGGUGCAGACAGCAGACCUUUAGCAGCGAAUUGCAAAUUCCUCGUAGAACACACAAUUCAAUAGUAAAUACUAAUUCGCUUCAGAGAAUUCAGUUUCGACAGCAAAUCACAAAUUCACUGCAGACAACUCAACUUCGGCAGCAAAUCGCAAAUUCACCAUAGAACACACAAUUCGGCAGCGAAUACUAAUUCGUUGUAGAGAACUCAGUUUCUGCAGCAAAUCACAAAUUCAUUGCCAGCUUCGACAGCAGAUCAUAAAUUCGCUGCUGACAACACAACUUCGAUAGCGAAUCACAAAUUCGUUGCAGAACACACAUUUCGACAGCGAAUGCUAAUUCACUGCAGACCAUAACUUUAAUAGUGAAUCCCAACAUCGUCGUAGAACACACAAUUCGGUAGCGAAUCAUAAAUUCGCUGCAGACAACUCAACUUCGGUAACGAAUCAGAAAUUCGCUGCAGACAACUCAACUUCGGGAGCGAAUCACAAAUUUGCUACAGACAACUUAGUUUCGACAGCGAAUCACAAUUUUGCUGCCGACAAUACAACUUCGGCAGCGAAUCACAAAUUCACUGCAGAACAGACAAUUCGACAGCGAAUGCUAAUUCGCUGCAGACAACUCAGUUUCGGCAGCGAAUCACAAUUUCGCUACAGGCAAUACAAUUUCGGGAGCGAAUCAUAAAUUCGCUGCAAAACACACAAUUCAGCAGCGAAUCAUAAAUUCACUUCAGAACACACAAUUUGUCAUUAGGUUCCAACAAGCUCACAUGAUUUCAGCAUGAACACACACAUACUCAUGCAAUAAUCAAUCCCAGCACAUAAACUGUCACUAAAUUCCAGUAGAAUACACACAUGCAAUAAUCAAUUCCAACACAAAAUCUUUCAUCAAAUUCCAGCAGAAUACACACAUGCAAUAAUCAAUUCCACCACAAAAUCUUUCAUCAAAUUCUAGCAGAACACACAUAUGCAUGGUGUCCAACCCCAUAGCUAAGGCCAACCCUUUUCCAUGAUUUGUUCUUUCCAUUCUAUUCAUUUUUCUUUGUUAGAUGUUCUGGAAAUUGGCCUCAUUUUGUUUCAGUUUCCUUGUCCUCUUAGUUAAUUUCAGUUUCCUUGACAACUAGCUUAGGUCUUAGGUCAAUUUUCUUAGGGUCUUCUUCUUCAUUCCCAAUGGUGUUUACAUAUGACUGUUGGAUGUGAGUCAAGCCCAAUAAAGCUUUUUGUGGAGACCCACGUGCGGAGUGAAGAUCGCCAAAAGGGGAUGCAACAAUUCAUCGACAACCGCACUCAACAUUUUGUUGUAUGUUAGUUCAACCAUUUUCUUUCGUAAGUUAUUAUUUUCUUGAAUUCAAUUUGAUGCUUUUAGUUUUUAUUUUCAGGAGACAUAAAAUAGCCGGUUGAGAGAGAGAUAUGGGGACGAUCCUUCGACCCACCCGGAUUUUGAUUCGGAUUUGGUGAUGGAGACAGGAUCGUCGGUGGACCGAUAGAAAUCGGGUGUAUAGACUCUCCAACACUAUGAUCGAGAACUAGUGGAUGACCCGUAGUGUCUCAACCAUUGGGAGCUUGCAAUCAGUAUCGAGUACCAAGUCUUAGGAGUUCGUGGCCUUGCAACAACAUACGACUCAUCUCACCGAAAAAUAUGAGCAACUCUCAGCGGAUUAUGAAUAAUUAUGCCAAAUGGUCAUAGACAUGAGAUCACAGAUGGGUGGUACAUGUGUACCCCCUUUUUGGCCGCAUGGUCCUGGGAACGACCAGCCUUCUCUUCCUCCUCCUCGAACAUUAUCAUUGUCAUUGUUCUAGUUUAAUUUUUAUUUGAACAUAUAAAUUUGUAAUGAAUAUUUGGAUUUAAUUUUUAUAUGAACAACACACAAUUUUUUUAAAACAAAGUUUUCAAAAGAUUUUUUUAAAAUUUUUUUUUUAAUUAUUACAGAACGAUAUACCAUCGAACAUAAUUUGUCGGUAUAUUCUAGAGGCAAGGGGAACAAUUUACUUCAUAUGCCACUACAACACUGUUACAUCAUCAACAAAAUUAUUUCAUCAGUAUUUUACAGAGGGUUGGAAUAAAAUUACAAUAAAUGCCGAAAUAAUUCUAUUGGUGUAUUAAAAUGGGUAAUUUUUUUUGGCUGGCAUAUUCUGUCUGUAAAAACAUAGAGUUUUUUUUACCGAUAGAAAUGACAUUACCGACGAACGAUUGUCAUUCGUAAAUCUGUCGGUAAAAAUGUUGCCGACAGAAUGUUAGUGUAAAUACUGACAAAACAUUUCAUCGGUAAAACUAUUAAAUCUACUAAAUGCUUUCAAUAUAUGAGUUUUACAUGGUUUAAAUGCUUUAAAUUCAAAUUGAAGAAUCUACUAAAUGGAGUGAUUGAUUUUACAUGUCUUAUAUUUUCGAGUUUGAGUUGAUGUAUUUUUGUUCCACUAGUUUAGAUGGCUUUUGAGCUACAUUUCCAAAUGUUUUCCACCAUGAUCCUAAGCCCCAUUACAAACCUUGAAAAGUCUUUGUGAUUCAAGUUUUGCAUGUGAUCCUAUUGGUGGAGAAUAAGAAGAUAUACAAGCCUGUGGUAGAGCAUUUCUGUUGGAAUGAAUUUGAGUGAAACACAUACCUUUCAAACACACACUACAAGAUUUCACAGUUUUACCGACGGAAACAUUCCGUCGGUGUGUGAUUAUAAGUUCGUCAGUGAUUUUUUUACCGACGUCAUCCCCGACGGAAUACGUCCGUCGGCUUUACCUUCAUCAAUGAUUCCCCAUUCCGUCGGUAUAUCAGUCGGAAAAACAAAAAAAACCAUUUACCGACGGGUUUACAGACGGAACGUGCGCGCCAAAAAAAAAAGAUUCCCGCUUGAAAUAUACCGACGGAUUUUCACUCCGUCGGUGACGUUUAAAUUAUCGACGGAAAAUAUCCGUCGUUAAAGCAGUCGGUGAAUUUAUGACAUACGACGGAAUAUUUCCGUCUGUAAAUUCGUCGGUACUGGUGGAAGCUACUGUUAAAUGGCGACGGAUUAAGUCCGUCGGUAAUUCUGUUGGUGAAAGUUUAAAAUACCGACCGAAUUCAUCCGUCGGUAAAAUCCUUGGUAAUAGUUUUUUUCUUAAUUUUUUUUUAAAAAAUUAUUUAGGAUAUAUAAUAUAAAACUAUAUAAAUUAAUUGUUAUACAAACCAAUUAUGCAAAUAAAAUUUUUAUUAAACAUAAAAAAAAAAAAAAAAGUUAAAUAAUAUUCAUUACAAACUGAAUAUGUUUCAAGAAAAAUAAUAAAUGAAGUUUUAAAGGUAAAUAAUGUUGAUUACAAAUUAAUAUAAAGAUGAUGGAGCUUGAGGAGGAGGAGGAGAUCCUGGCGGAGGCUGGUGGUUAUACGGCCAAAAAGGAUUAGGCGCACAUGUUCCGCUAUUUGACAAUUUCAUAAUCAUUUCGUAAAGCUGGUCAUAAGCCGCUUUUUGCUGUUCCUGAGCCGCUUCAUACUUCGCUUUUUGUUGUGCUUGAAACGCUUUGAAUUGCUCAGACUCCGCUCUUUGUUCCGCUAUUUGUUGUGCAUGAGACGCUUUGAGUUGUGCGUACUCCGCUUGUAGGUUAUCGUAUUUCUCGGUGAGUUGCUGCAAAGCCACGGACUCCUUAGAUUGGGAGCUCCCAACGGUUGAAAAACUACGGGUCGACCGCAAGUUGUCGGCCGUAGUGUUGGAGAGCCCGUAAACCCGAUUUUUAUCGGGUCCACCUGACGAGCCAACCUCCAUCCACAAAUCCGGAUCGAAUUCCGGAUGGGUCAAAGUAUCGUCCCCGUAUCUCUCCCUCAACCGAUUAUUAUAGGUCUCCUGAAAAUAAAAUAAAAAGUAAUCAUCAUAUUCAAUACAAUAAACAUAAUAACUUACAUAAUAACUUACAAAAUAAAAUGGUUGAACAAACAUACCAUGAAAUACUGAGCACGGUUAUCAACUAACUGUUGCGCCUCCUUCUGGCGGUCUUGACUCCGCACGUGCGUCUCCACAAACAGCUCCAUCGGGCUCGGCUCACGUCCAAGAGACGCAGCCUAUAAUGAAAAAAGAUAUAUUAACAACAACUGAAUUUAACGAUAUAUUUUAUUUAAAUUAAUCUUACCAUCCGUUUCGCAUGUGCAGCAAACGGAACAGAGCCGCCAGUGUGAGUUGUCACCCCGCCAUGAAUUGGCCGAUUCCGGUUGCCAGCACCGGACUGUGAGCGUCGUGUGAACCGCUCAGACGUCACGUGCUCAAGAUAGUGCGGCCAUAUAUCUUCCGGGAUGUAUAUCGGUUUGAAAUCCCUCCAAACCGCAACAUCGUUCCAGCCGUGGAAACCCCUAUCCCUCGCGGUUUUUUUUGCCUUUUGUGCUUCAUACCAAAAAUCACGCAACCUGCUUCACGCAACCAAAAAUUACAUUUCGAAACAUAAAUUUUUGUCUAAAAAAAAUCCUGUAUUGUUUUCGAUCUUACCUAGUUGCCGCGUGAUUUUCCCACACCCUCCUCACAACAGCGUUAUGCUCAAUGUCCCAGCAGAAUUUGUGCUUUGUAUAAAUAAACAAGUUUAAAUAAAAAUAAUAAUUUAUUUACAAUUAUAUUAAUAAGCUGAAAAUUAUAAAUUAAUAUCAACCUCAAACCUGUUAAACCAUGCAUUGAUUUGAGGCAUCCAUUCAGGAUGCUUGGAUAUCUGACUCCAUUGAAACAAUGGAAUCUCCAUCGACGAUUUAAACGCCGAUGAUAUUACUCGGGCGGCUUCAAUGUUUGUGAACCUGAAAAUAAAUGAAAUAAAUUCAAUAGUGAUUACUUGAUAAAUUAUGUUGUAAUUUAAAAAAAAAAACUAAAACCUUAACAAACUUACAUUGAAAGGUCGUCCUUCCACUGUGCCUCGUACUUGCGGGUAAAUUGAUUCCGCAGCGAAGGCACGCCGCCUCUGCGCUGUGAAGUACCGCUGGAAGAGGCAGCAUCGGUUGACGGCGCAGGUGGUGUAGGUGCCUCUUCUUGAGAGGCACCUAAGGAAAUAUCAUCCUCGCUGCUAGACGAACUAGCUGCGACCGCACCUGAGCGACCAGCUCUGGUUUUCUUUCUACGCAUCUACACAAUUUGAUACAAAUAAUUAUAUAAUUAAAUUCAAAUGUAAAAAAAAAAUUCGACAGCACCUCCCCUCUACCGGAUACUACCCAAAUCCACAUACCUGCACAUAUAUAUUAACAAUAGCCACAACCAAUUUACCCAAUCUAUACUAAUUAUUCCAACAUAUUCAAUUACUAAUUCUAAGGUAAAUUCAACAUUAACAAUUACAAUUCAACAAAUUAUUUAAUAUUAAUUAUGCCAAUACAACAAUAAAAUAUAUUCAAUAAAUUAAAAAAAAACUCUAGACUAACAAUCAAAAUAAAUGGAACAAAUUAAACACAAAUCAUGCAAUAAUAAAGUAAAAUUAAUAAUUAUUCCAACAUAUUCAAUUAAUAAUUCUAUGCUAAAUUCAACAUUAACAAUAAAAAUUCAACAAAUUAACUAAUAAUAAUUAUGCCAAUACAACAAUAAAAAUAUUCAAAAAAUUCAAAAAAAAAAAAAACUAUAUACUUUAGCAAUGAAUUAUGCAAAAAAAACUAUAGACUUUAUCUACAUUACAAAAAAUACACCAAAACAAAAAACAAUAACCAAAAAAAUAGCAAAAAAAAACUAUUAAAGUAAAAUGAAAUAGAGAAAACACUAACCUUUUAAACUGAUGAAGAUGAUGAAGAAAACUUGCUAGAGAUUGGAGGUGAAAGCUUUGAAGAAUGGAGAGGAAAAAAAAUCAAAAGCUUAAGGUGAGAAACGAAGGAGAAGAAAAAAUGAACUGAAACGGCGGUCACUUGAACUUAUAUGGCAGUUUUACCGACGGAUAUAAAAUUAAUUAUUAUUUUAAUUUAGUCCGUCGGUGAUAUGUUAAAAAUCCGUCGGCAAAGUUUGAAUUUUGCACCAAAAUUUUCAAUGACCCUCCAUAUUUUUCGUCGUCCGUCGGUAAUUUCGUCGGCAAUAUUACCCGAUCAGAGGCGCAUUAAAUGCGCAACCCUUUGAAAUUCGCGCUGUCCGUCGGUAAUGUUGUCGGUAAAAUUGAACCGCCGACAACUUACCGACGUAUUUAAAUUCGUCGGUGUAGCCGUCGGUGAUUUGAUGGCAUUUCAAGUAAUUAUUUUCGAACUCUCUGUGAAACACCGACGGACUAAUUCCGUCGGUGUGGCCGUCUGUAAUUGGGUGGCAUUUCAAGUAAUUAUUUUCGAACUCUCUGUGAAAUGCCGACGGACUAAUUCCGUCGGUGUUGCCGUUUGUAAUUGGGUGGCAUUUCAAGUAAUUAUUUUCGAACUCUCUGUAAAAUGCCGACGGACUUAAGGCCGUCGGUGUGGCCGUCGGUGAUAUAGUGGCAUUUCAAGUAAUUAUUUUUGAACUCUCUGUGAAAUGCCGACGGACUUAAGGCCGUCGGUGUGGCCGUCGGUGAUCAGGUGGCAUUUCAAGUAAUUAUUUUCGAACUCUCUAUGAAAUGCCGACGGACUUAAGGCCGUCGGUGUGGCCGUCGGUGAUCAGGUGGCAUUUCAAGUAAUUAUUUUCGAACUCUCUAUGAAAUGCCGACGGACUUAAGGCCGUCGGUGUGGCCGUCGGUGAUCUGGUGGCAUUUCAAGUAAUUAUUUCAUGUCACAAAAUAUAUCAUCCAUCAUAAUUGUGGCAUUUCAACAAAUUAUUUCAAGUAAUAAAUAUUUUGUGUUUCAAAAUAUAUAUAUCAUUCAUAAUCUAAAUUACAUGUAAAAAAGGGUUUUACAUAGGGCUUCAUUUUGGUAGUUAGUCAGAAUUUUCUUCUUCUUCGUCAUCAAUUGAAUUGUCAUCACCUUCAUCGCAAUCUUCAAUAUGAAUAUCAUCUUCUUCAUUGAUAUUUGGUUGUCCGCUAGAGCUCAAAACAAAAUUUAACUCAUAUGCGUCAACAUCAACAAGACUAUCAUCGAAAACACGAAAAUUUGAAUUUUCUUCCAAUUCAAUCGAAGGAGCAACUCGAUAUGGUUCAACCACCUCACUAACUUGAAAGACUUCAUCUCGCACACUUGUGUCUUCGUUCUCAUCCUGAACAACCUCGACACGACCCCGGGGUUUCGUUUUUAAAACGGACAACCAAUCCACUCUUGAUCGAUCCUUUCUAAAUGAAGGGGUGUAUGUGUAAUAAACUUGUUGACAUUGCUUUGCGAAAACAAAGACAUCGUUUAUGUUGCGGAGUCUAGCUUUUGAGUUGAUUUCGACCAGACCAUAGUGCGGAUCAACUCUGAUUCCUCUGUCAGUCGUGUCAUACCAAUAGCAUUUGAAUAAAAACACUAUAUUCUGCUCGUUAUGAUAUUGCAGUUCGACGACCUCUUCUAACCUACCAUAGUAGUCAACUUCUAACUCACUACUAGUGGAUCCCUUAACACAAACACCGUUGUUGUAUGUCUUUCUUCCUUGCCCGUAUUUUUCAGUAUGGAAAACAUAUCCAUUGACAAAAUACCCGUUGUAGCACUUACAUUUUCUUUCAGGCCCCAGGCUUAGUAAAGACAAUGACUUAGGUGCACUCCUUCCCAUUUGAUAAACCUUGCAUGUAAUGUACAUCAAUAAACAGUAAAUGAACGGGAAUCUCGUAAUGACAUGCAUACGUACAAUAAUUUUGCAAGUUAGAAUGAGUUUGUGAUAGUGCUUACAUGUGUUCUGAACCACGUGGCAAACUGCUCAUCUUGUAAUUGAAAGAUCUAGGAUUCAGUCAGCUGUGAGUUAUUGGAGAGCAAAUAUUGACGAUGUUGCCUGCAAGUGAUAAUGAGUGUAUGAUAUUACAAUAUAUAAUUAACAAUAUAUUACUAACAAAGUUUAAUUAGUAUAAACUUACUGAAUAAAAGGUCUCAGCUCAUCACAGUUAAAUAGAACAUAGUUGUGUGCUUGUUUGAACUCUAUUUCCGUCAAAUAUCUUCCUCUUACGGCAUUUUUAGGUGUGGGUCGUCCAGUAUUGGAGAAUAUUGACAGGUUCCCUCUGGAAGGCACUUCACCGCCAUCAUCAUGCCGUGGAACGUGAUUGAUUCUCGUUCUCAGAUGAGGUUCGAAAUAGUACGAGAUAAAUGUUGAGAUCUCCUCAACAAUAUAGGCCUCACAUAUCGAAGCCUCAACAUGCGCCUUGUUCUUAACCUUUUUCUUGAGAUUAAACAAGUACCUGCAUUGAAAUAUUAAUCAAGUAUUUUCAAUUAAGAAAAACAUAUAAAAUACUUUUAUAUAUAUAUGAAUUACAUUGCAACUGUAAUAUCUAACCGUUCGAAUGGGUACAUCCAUCUAUAUUGGACCGGUCCUCCAGCUUUUGCCUCGAACGGUAGAUGUAUAAGGAGAUGCUCCAUUGAGUCAAAAAAUGAUGGAGGGAAUAUCAUCUCAAGUUUGCAUAGUGUCUCGACGAUAUUCAUUUGAAGCCUCUCAAUGUGAUCAACAUUCAACUUGCUGGAGCAUAUAUCUCUGAAGAAAUGACUGAUCUCCGUGAGUGCAUCCCAUAUUCCCUUUGGCAACAAAUCACGAAAAGCUAAUGGGAUGAGUGUUUGCAUAAACACGUGGCAGUCAUGACUCUUCAUUCCAUACAAUCUGCAGUCCUCUAUAUUAACCAGCCUUGAUAUGUUCGAUGCAUGUCCAUCCAGAAAACGCAGACUCUUAAGCCAUUUGUAGACUAGCAGUUAUGCGUUUUUCUCUAACACGAAGCUUGCUCUUGGUUUUGCGACCCGUGACUCAUCAUAAACCAACUCCAUAUUUUUACGGUUACAGUAUAAAGCUAUAUCCAAUCUAGCCUUGAUGUUGUCCUUUGUCUUCCCCUUCACAUCCAUGACGGUGUUGAAAAUGUUCUCAAACAUGUUCUUUUCGAUGUGCAUGACGUCAAGGUUAUGGCGGAGCAGAUUGGUCUUCCAAUAAGGAAGCUCAAAAAAGAUACUUCGCUUUACCCAAUUAUGGGUCAAACCAAAACCAGGAAACUUUUGCUUACCUGAUUGAAGGCCAAACACAAUGUCACCAUACUCUGAGACAACAUCAUGCAAUUCUUCACCAGAAAAACGCAGGGAUGCAACAUCUUUUUCAACUCUGCCAACAAAGAAAUCUUUUCUGUUCUUUCUGUACCUGUGAUGAAGUGGCAAGAAGCGACGGUGACAAUCAAAAAAAGAAGCUUUACCUCCGUUUCCUAGCGUGAAUGCCUUGUUGUUUUCCAUGCAGUAUGGACAUGCGAGUUUCCCAUGCGUGCUCCAACCAGAAAGCAUUCCAUAAGCUGGAAAAUCAUUGAUAGUCCACAUCAAUGCCGCCCUCAUAAGGAAAUUUUGUUUCCUCGAUAUAUCAUAAGUCAGAGCUCCGGAGGACCACAACUGCGCCAACUCAUCAAUCAACGGUCGAAGACAAACAUCUAUAUUCCGNNNNNNNNNNNNNNNNNNNNNNNNNNNNNNNNNNNNNNNNNNNNNNNNNNNNNNNNNNNNNNNNNNNNNNNNNNNNNNNNNNNNNNNNNNNNNNNNNNNNNNNNNNNAAUAAGGAGCAGCAAAUGACCCAAAUGGAUUGAAUCCGUCUGUACACACCCAAGACGCACAUUCCUUUGAUUCAGCUGAAAAGUGAGGAUGAACACUGUUAAAGUGUUUCCACGCUUCGCCGUCAGAAGGAUGAACCAUCACUCCAUCAACCACAUGGUGUGCUUGGUGCCAUGUCAUGUGCUCAGCAGUCCUUGGUGACAUGAAUAACCUCUGCAGUCUAGUUGUGAUCGGGAAGUAUCUAAGUUUUUUAUAUGCCACUAGAGUCUAUCCCCUGCCAGUUCUAGAUUUGUAACGGGAAUGCCCGCAUGUCAUGCACUCGGUCAUCUCAGCAUUUUCAAGGUAGUAUAACAUGCAGAAGUUAGGGCACAUGUCAAAUUUCUGGUAUCCUAAACCGAGGGGUUUCAUCAUGGACUUCGCAGCAUAGAAGUUCUCUUUCAGCCUGUUCCCUUCAGGUAAAAUGCUUCUUGCCCAUUCAAUAAUCUUGUCAUACCCGGCCUCACUCAACCCGUGAUCUGACUUGAUGGUGAACACCUGUGCUACGGCCGAUAAUUUACUGUGGUUCGUGCAGCCAUCCUAUAAUGGUUCGUCAGAAUCUUUCAACAAAUCAAAAAACCUAGCUGCAUCUACAUUAGGUUCUUCUUCUACGAUUGGACAUUGACUGCCAUUACCUUGAUUCAUUCUCAUUGCAUCCAUAACCAUAUUUCUGUAAGGAUUAGUGUUGUCAUUUGCCAUUUCAUGCACGUUGCUAGCACUAGAAGUAGACCCAACCACCGUUUCUUCCAUUCUCCUCUCACUCUCGCUAACAAAUACUUCUCCAUGUGCAUACCAACACUGGUAAUUCUCCAUAAACCCUUUGUGUAGAAGAUGCAUCAUUACAACAUCUGGAUGCAGAUACUUUUUAUUUUCACACUUCCUGCAUGGACACCUAAUACCGCCUCCAGUAAAAUUUAUGGGAAUAGAUGUUACGAAAUUAAUAAAACCCUGAACCCCAUUACAAUAAUCCAUCCUCCGCAAUCCUUGGGGUGAAUCUCGAUACAUCCAUGAACGAUCAUCCAUGACUUAUAUCGAACCUCUAUAAAAUUAUGAUGACAUCAUGUAUUAAUUAACUAAGUUAGGUAAAUAAACUUGUACAAAUAUUACUUUAACUCGAGAUUAUCCAACAAACCAAUCACAACUUCUCAUAAAUAUUAAAUAUUCAUUAUCAUUUAUCAACGUUCAUACGAAUUAAAAAAUAUAAAUUUACAGAAAUUACCACUCCGCAAUACCAUUGAUAAAACUUUAAACGGGCCCAUUAAGCAAGCUAUUAAUUAUUUCAAAAUAGCACAUGUAAUUCUGUAAUUCCAUAAAGAAAUAACAAUUUACAAACAAAUACAAUCUUACAAAAUCUAAAACAAACCAUAACGGGUACAAAAUUAUACAUUCAUAUACUACAAGUUUGUUUGAGAAAUAACAAUAAAACAUGUACAUCUACUAACAAAAUACAUAUACUAAAAAAACAAUAAAAUUGACAUUUAAUUAAAUGUUAAAAUUUAAAAAGAUAUAAUUACUUACAAAAAUUGAUAAAAUCCGUUGGUAAAUCAGAACACGCGCGGAUGCUGUGACCAAAAAACUUCAAGAAAUAUAACUUGUUGUGCUGAUAUGAGGAAGAUUUUUUUUUUGGGGGGGAGGGGGGGCUGGUUGUUUGCAGAUGGGGAGAGUUGGGAUGAGGAAGAAGAAGGAGAAAUAGGGGAUGAGAGGGUCGGCAGAGCUGUCAUAUAUUAACUUUUUCCGACGGUUUUACCGACGGAAUGUCCGUCGGUGAUUACGUCGGUGAUUCUGACGGAAACAUAGACAUGUCACCGUACGGAUCUGCCAUUUCAAAUCCCUCGGUGAUUCCGUCGGCAAUUUAAACGGCGAACCGGUCGCAUCACUUUACGGGCAUUGUACGGGCAGUCAUUUUUGAAUCCGUCGGUGAUUCCGUCGGAAAAAAACAAAACCGCCAAAACCCCACGUCAGCGACCGCCUUUUUUUAAAUUCGAAAUUCUCCGUCGGUAGUUACCGACUGAAUUACGGACGGAAAAGUUUUCGUCGGUUUUUACCGACUGAAUUACGGACGGAAAGUGGCCGUCGGUAAUUUCGACCUCAAAAUACCGACAGAAAAUAUUCCGUCGGUAAAUCCGUUGAUAUUUAGCGAAUUUCUGGUAGUGACAUGAAAGUCGAGUGUUUAUUUCUAUGAGAGUCUACGUAUUUAGCUUAUUCUAUAUUUAAAUGAAAAUGCUUGUUAAUAAUUAUAAGUUGUCUAAGAAUUUUUAUUCAUGAUAUGUUAUUCUUUUUGAAGAGAUUGAUUGUUUUUUGUUGAUGACAUUGCAACCUUUAUUUUGUUUUUCAUGGAAAGUGAAUUUCAGUUUUGCUCGAGGACGAGCAAAAGUUAAAUGUCAUAUUUCUAUUAAUGUUUAGUAUUUUAUACUUAUUUGAUGCCUAAAUAUACUCAUUAUUUUUAUAUUUUGAUUUAGAAUGUAAAUGGAGACGUUAAUGGCGAAACAAUUUAAUUGGGUGAUUCUGGACAGUUUUGACACAACUUUGUAAUUGGGGUAUAACUCUCUCAUCCAAGCUCCGAUUGAGGUGAUCCAAAAUGCUAUGGAACCAUAAGGAAUAUAUCUACAACUUUCAUGUUUUGCAUUUGGAGAGAUACUAACUACAUCGUGUUCGCAAUUGGGAAUAAAGACGUUGCACCUAUACUGUGCCAACAUGCUGGAAUGUCCUUAAGCAUGCAAAUCUAAUAUGAUGUGAUUUAUUUUCGGAAACUUCCAAACUUGAUGCAUGAAUUAUAGAUGAUGACAUCACUUUUCUUGUUAUAUUAUAACUUUAUUUUAUUAUUUAAUAAUUUUAUCGGAUAUUCAGAUUUGGUGGUUAUUAUUAGAGAGUAUUUUAGAAGAUUUUGUCUCCCUUCUCUCUUUUUUCUUCCUCUUUCCCAAUUUCUUUCUCAAUUUAUUUCUCUUCUUUAUGAUACUCAUGAUGGUACUGUGGAACUAAUUUUGCUUUGAGUAUUGGAUGUUCUUUUAUGCCUAUUUUUCAUGAUUUUCUUGUUUAAUUACAAUGAGACCUCUAGUUUAUUAUUCAUUGCAAUCUACUGAUGGGUUAGAUAUUAAAUAUGGAAUUGUUUGAUCUCUCUAAUCUAUGAAGCAAUUGAGAUUUAAUUAUUUGUUGUGUUAGAAAUUAGUAAAUUUUAGGAAGAUUUUUUGACUAAAUUAAAUGUAACUGCCUGUGCUUCUAUUGGUUAGCUUCAUCAAUCUCUUUAAUUUUUAAGGUUAGUACUAAAUUUAAUUUUAGCGCUUGUCUUAAGUUGUUUAGUAGUUAGGAAAAUAGUUCUAAUUUGAAUAUUUAAAAUAUGAAUUAAUAUAUAUAUGCAUCAAUUAUUAGUUGUAAAAGACUUGAUAGUUGAUGUUGACUUAGACCGAGGGUUCUUUUUGUGAUUAAUUUUGAUAAUUUGUAUUGAGUUGUCUCUUAGUUAGUUUUCUUUCUAUUUCUUUUUUAUUGUACUAGAACCCCUCAUCUGUAUAGGCCAUCAAUUAACGAGAAAAGGACAAUCGAUGACUUGACCGUGGCCGUAUAUAGGCCAACAAAUGCAGAGGCCUAUUGAACUUAUUAAAACAACAUAUCCUGUUUUAAGAGGCGCCAAUCUUUUGGGCUUCCCCUUGUAUAUUUUCAUGCACUAACCUUUAAGCCUUCCAUGCGAACAAUCAUACAUUUACUCAACCAAUAAAAUGACAAGACAACCUAAAAAGAAAGGAAUUGUUUACAUGAAUAGAUGAAUAAAUUCUUUAUGUUGUUCCAUCACAAAGACUUAAGGGGUAAUUAAUAAGUCUAGAAUCCACACUUAAAACACCAGGACCAAGUCAUAGUGUAUGAGGUAAGGCCAAAACCCAAAGCCUAAAUGAUCAUGGAUUGUACUAGGAGGUCUAGAGCCCGAGUGCACAUUUUACAUUUUCUAAGCCUAGAUAGACCAUAUGACCCAAUGCUAAUUGAUCCUAAUUGAUCCUAAUUGAUCCAACUGGCCUACAGUCACUUAAUCUCCAAGAUGGGUUCGGUUUCUUCACCAAGUCUAGCAAUGAAAUGCACCCUGGAGAACAAACCCAAACAGAAACCCGAAGGCACUAGGCAAGGCUUGGUAAGUAAAGUACGACCACCAAUAUUUGCACCCAACUUUUGUGUAGUUAGUAUUUAGCAUUAAAUGCUAUCAUAUCCUCGUAUUAUAAUUGGGUAUUUAGCAUAUCCAUGUCUAAUGGAGGAUUCGUAUGUCAAUGUCCUUUCGAUUCAACAAUACACUACCAACUAUUAUGGGCUAUUAUCUUAAAUGAUUGAUUUCAAACCAAGUAUUAAAGUAUUUUUCACACUUUACCCUUAUCUAUAUGCAGGUUAGAGUGAUUCUUCACUAUUUAAAUAUUCAUAAAUCACGAGGUAAGGUAGGUUUUAACGUCAUAUUUUUUGGCAUUCUUUUAUCAUCUUCUUUGUCACUUUUCUUGUAAACACAACCCUUAAAGUGUUAUUAUUCUUACAACCUCACUAACUUUAUAUAGCAUCAGAGAAUCUUCUAGUUUACAGGUUUUCGUGAUUUCUGAUGAUUACUAAGCUCAACAAGUCUAUUUCAACAUUUCAUACCAUUACCAGAAAGGUUAGAAGUUUUCCUUAAGCCUCGUGAACAAUGAAUUCUGAAAGUGUUAAUUUUUUCCAUGCAUACGGAUAAGUUUUGUAUUUUUCUUUCUCACAUUAUUGAACCACCAUGCUAAUGCGAAUGGAUGAGGAGCAUGGGCAUGCGCGUUAAUGGCUCCUUGUCGUGGAGAUUAGCAAACUAUUCAAUUGGUUGAAUGGAAAAGUGGAUUAUGUAACAGAAUGAUGAUCAAUAAAAUAGCUAAAGGUAGACAACCAGAUGUAACAACAAUUUCAUCAAAGAAACUAAUUCAAGGUUUUUGGAAGCGGAGCACGUCGUUGACAAGUUUGUCAAAAUUCAUGGAUGAUGAACCAUUAAUACCAGUUGUCGCUUCAGCCUUUGACUUCCAUUCCAUUGCCUUCCUUUUCAUUUCCUUACCUUUCUCCCCAUCAAUUAACUCUA